UUUUUUGUUUUUUCUAUACAAGUAGAAUGUGACUGAAACUAUUUGCAUUUAGUUGUAGAGGAUUAUUCCAUAGUGUCAUGAUUGAUGGGUUUCAGGUUUUCAGCCUUUGUAACUAUAUUUCCGAAGUUUUUGUUUUGUUGUUUUUGGAUGUGGGAUUGAAAUAUACUCAUUGGAAUUGUUUCAUUUGUAGCCGCUAGAAUCAAAUAUUCAUUCAUUGAUAUUCCAGUUUGUCACUUCAUCACUACCCAGUCUUGGUAUUAAUGAUUGAAAAGGAAAAGACCAUCCAGAUAAAACAGAAGCGCGAUAAAAGCAAUAUAAUAUUGAAUGAAACAUUUUAGACUAAACAUGCUUGAUGCUUCUAUGAUAUAAGCUCUGCUGCGUCAAAUUCCUAUCGAAUGAAUAUAAACACGAAAACGUAAGUUUUUAGGCAUUAUUACUAUAUAGAGCAGACAGAAGGGUUGAAAGAUUUAUUAUUAUUAUUAAACUUAGGGUACCUUAAAGUUACGAAACUAAUAGUUUAUCAAAUUAAAAAAUUUAAAGUAAACUCUCCCAAUAAAUAUAUUUUUCGAGAAACUUUGGUUUCGGAGAAUAAAAAAACUGAAUAUAAAUGAAAGGCCUAGGCGUUGGGCCUAAAAGGCCUUAAGUGUAGGUGUUUGUUGGACUUGGGACUGAACAAUCUACGGCUCCAGAUAGAUAGUUGGAGAGAGAAAGCAAAAGGAAAACAUUUUUUUAAUGAAAGCGUACGGUAAAAUUAAAAAUUUACCCCCAAAAAGAUGGUAAAACCCUGCAGUAUCUCAGCUCUCAGCCCAACCUUCUUGCUUCUUUUUCAAUUCAUCUCUAUCGCAUUCCCUGAAUUAAAAGUAAGUCUUUUCUCCUCCAUAUAUUCCUUAAUGUCAGCUUUAAUGAAUUCAAUUUUAUGUUUAUUAUCCACAAUUCUACUGGAUAACCAACUUGGAAGUGUCGGCAUGGAUUUUCUUUGAAGUCCUUUAUUUAGAAAGGACUCCAUGCACGUCUACUUCAAUAACAUGUUGGAUGAGUGUCUGAAAAGGGUACAUGACCUAAGAUGAAGGUUUGAAGUAACAUAGCUUGUUACCAUUUGAAUUUUACUAUUCACAUUAAACUUCGAUAUGGAUAAGCUUACUCAUUAUUACUAUAUUUAGGUUCUAAAGAGUCUCGUCUUGCUGAUCAAGAGACAAGAGUGCGAAAGAGGAGCAGCCAAAAGGAGAAAGGUAUUGAGAAUCCUUUCUAGAUGUUCAUCUCCAGUUCCUACCUCUUUUAUUUUGUUAUUCGUUGUGUAGAGGGUUCUUUGUUCUCUACACACACCUUUAGUCAAUUCUAAGAAACAGCUUAAGUUUUCAGUCAUUACUGAAAGUGAUUUAUUUUAUGCUUGAUAUGUGCCUCUUCCAAAAACCAAAUAGAUCAAGAGGUUAUUAAAUUUUUUUUUUUCAAGUUAUUCUAACUAUCUUCUAUUCUUUUUCCCAUUAAAUAAAUUUUUAUUUCCAUGUUUUUCUUUUGUAGGAUAAAGAACUUGUUGAUGAGGAUAGAGAGUCUUGCACAGUUGAAUCAAGUGAUCAUUGUGGUGAUGAUUUCCUUAAUGAUAAAGUUGAAGGUGACACAGCGGUUUCCUUGAUGAUGGUACGUGCCUCUUCCAAGGAAAAAGAUCAAGUAGAUGAAGUGGCUGCCAAAAUUUCUACUUCCCAGUCUUCUUAUCAUUCUAAGAAGAAAGGUUCAUCUUCUCCUAAAGUAAGUCAUUCUAACUCCUUUUUUUUUUUUCAGACUAUGCAAUUUCUUAUUUCCCUGAUUUUCCUUUGUGUAGAGUAAAGGACUUGUUGACGAGGACAAAGAGUCUUGCACAAUUGAAUCAAAUGAUCAUUGUGGUGAUGAUGAAGAAGUUGAAGCUGACACAGUUGUUUCUGAGGAGAAAAAAGUUGAUUUUCUUGGCUUUUCCAUUCUUUCUAAACAUGCGAAGUACUUGAAAAUUAUUUACCAGAAAGAAGGUGAUUUUUGGGAGACUCUUGCAUCUUUCAGAGUUCAGAAAUAAUUUCUUUUAUGUUGGAUGCAUUAGGAAGAGCUUUGGUGAUAGCUGAUGGUCUAGCAUUUCUUCGGAAAAGCAACAUUCAUGGAUGAUGCCAUGAAAGCUGGAUUUAGGCUUGAUUGUAUCGUUUUCUGCACAUCUAAAGCUACAAAUUUUCUUUUUAUGGAAGCAAACAAAACCCAAUUGAAAACAGAGAUGAAAGAAGUUACCCAGAAGAUUGCCUCUUUGCAAAAGGAGUUGGAGUUGAAGAAGGUUGGUGAAACAGAGUUAAAGAAGCAGUUUGAAGCUAUUUCUGAAUUCAGCAGUAAUAGUUCUUCUCCAUUAAGCUAUAUAGUUGAUUAAAAGUAUUUAUAUUUGUUUCUCUCUCUUUCCUAAUUAUAUGGAUGCAUUUCUUCAUUCACUAAGGAAUAAUCAUGUUUUCAUUAGUAAAAGAAAUUCUCAAGGACCUCCAACUGCAACAGAAAUCUGCUGGAUCAAUUAAAUUGAGAAUCUAUUAGGAUAUUAAUUCAAAGAAAAAUUUAAAAUCAUGAUUUAACUAAAUUAAAAAAUUAAUUAAAUUAUUUUUAAAUAUUUAAUAAUUUAUUUAAUUGAAUCCUCUAAAUGGACGUAGGGAUCGGUAGGCAUCCAGUUCUGAAAACGUUUAUAAAUGGAAGGCGUAGGAGGUGGGCUUUGGUACGGGCCUAAGAGGCCUCAGCUGUUGGUGGUAGCUGAGCUUGGAACUGAACAAUCCACGGAGCCAGAUAGUUGGAGAGAGAGUGCGAAAGGAAAAGAUAUUUUUUUUAAUGAGCGUAAAAAAUAAAAAUCAACCCCAAAACAUAUGAGCAAAAUUAAUAUUAUCUUUUUAAAAGAGAAAAAGAUGAUAAAACCCAAAACCCUACUGGCUUAUUCUAAAAUCUCUGGCAGUCUCUCAGCUCAGCUCUCAACCCAACCUUCACUAUUUAUUGCUUCUUCUUCUUCAAUUCAUCUCUAUCUCUCUCUCUAUCGCAUUUCCUGCACACUAAGUAAGUCUUUCCUUCUUAUAUUCCCUAAUGUCAACUUUAAGGAAUGUAAUUUUAUGUUCAAUAUCUACAAUUCUACCGGAUAGACCCACUUGGGCUGUUGCACAUCACUGUUUUCUCUUCUAUCUUUGCUUCUUUUGAGAGGAACUCAAAUACUGGGGAGUUUCUUUGCUCUAUACAAUAAUUGGAAAGCUAAUUUAUUUCCCGGGAAAUUGGUACUUCUUUUUUUCCUUAAUUUUUUCUGAUGAUGGUGACAUCGAAAAUCUUCCGUUUGUUCUUUUACAUGGUUUUUUUUUUAUGGUGGUAAUACUCAUUUUCUGUCACGGCUGGUGGAGUCCUUUAAUCCUUUUCUACUCUUAUUUUGGUCUUUUUUUUUCUGUUUUUGAAUGAUUAUUCUUUCAAUUUUCUUUUUGGAUUUAGCAGUAUGUUUACCUCGGGUCCAGUUUUCUGCUUUUUGGAAUUUGAAUUGAGUUAGGGGAAUCAGUUUGAAGGCUAGGAGACGGUAGACUAAAAUGAAGAGGAAGUCGCAAUUUCAACUUAUAGAACUUGAGUACAUCUAUAAAGGUAUUUGUGGCUCUGGAGGUUUUCUCUUUUACCAUUAAUGAUUAAAAAUUAUGUUCAUCUGGUUAUUGUUUACUUAGGUUUUUCCAAUCCCGAAAUUUCAGAUUGUUUAUUAAAAGUAUAUUGGGAUUUAAGCUAAACCUUUUUGUAAUGUCUGACUUGGCUUUUAAUUUAGAUUUUCAUCCAUGAUUUUAGCUGACUGAUAUUAUUACUCAUCCCUAUGCUUUUUUUUUUAAUGUGGAGCAGAUAAUAAAUAUCCUACGCAGAAGGAGAUAAAAGGUUAUGCUGCUUCUUUAGGACUAACUCUGAAACAGGUUCAGCAAUGGUUUGCCUCUAAGAGGAAAAGGGAUAAAGGAACUAUAUUACCUAUCCAUUCUAUGACAAGCCUCUCUGCUUCUACAAAAAGGAAUGCUGCUGCCAUUUCUGUUGCUAGAAAGAAUCAGAAAAGCGCCUCUUCAGUCGGAGCAAAUGGGUUUGGCAAGAAAAAGAAGAAGAUGCCUCUUCCUCAGGAUUUUUUAUCACCACAGUACAUUCUAAGCAAGGUAUUCCGCAAGGAUGGUCCUCCACUUGGUGUGGAAUUUGACUCUCUUCCUUCCCAAACUUUCCACUGCAAAGGUACACUACUGGAAGCUUGUAACCUUGUCGCCGUAGUGGUUAUUUGAUGCUAUUUAAAGGCGGUUGUUAUUCAUUUGGUGCCUUAAUUUUGUGGCUUUGCUGAGUCAAAAUUAUGCUGGAAGCCUCAUUCUGUUUCUGGUGCUUUUCCAUUGAGAAUUUUCAAGGUUGCCAUUUUGCUAAGAUAGAAAAUGUAAUUUUCCUUGCUAAUGUCGUAAAUUAACCGUUGAAUUACAGCCCGAACUAGUUAAUAUUUGAAAUUGAUUCUUUCUUAUUGUUUCUGUUAUAAUCUUAAUCUAUAUAUUUGAAAUUGGUUUUUUUUAAUCCAACAUGGGUGUGUUUUUAAUUUUUUUUGAAGUCCUUUAUUUAGAAGGUAAAGACUCCAUACACAUGUCUACUUCAAUAACAUGUUGGGCGAGUGUCUAACAAGGGCACUUGACCUAAAAUGAAGGUUUGAAAUAACAUAGCUGGUUACCAUUCGAAUUUUACUUUUCCAGUACUCAUGGCUAUUCACACUGUACUUUGACACAAAUAAGCUUAUUCAUUAUUGCUAUAUUUAGGUUCUAAAGAGUCUCACCCUGCUGAUGAAGAGUGCCAAAGAGCAGCAGCCAAAAAGAGAAAGGUUUCAAGAAUGUUUUAAUGGUGUUCAUCUCCAGUUCCUACCUCUUCUAUUUUCUUAUUUGUUUUACUUUGUUUCUUGUAUUUAAGGUUUUUGAGCUUACCAGCAUAGACCAUCAGAACAAUAGUAAUGAGAGUGCUUCAGUGAAGAAACACGGUAUGGGAAAAGGUUUGAUGACAGUUUGGAGGGUUGUGAACCCUGAGGGUGGAGAUAUUCCGACUGGCAUUGAUAUUUCUAAUCGACAAAUUGUUGCUCCUUCUCAAACUAGUCCUGUAGUGCGAAGGCAACCGCCUCAGAACAAAAGACGGCAGCCAUUAGUAUCUCAAAUGGUUAGUUAUCAAUUUUUUCAAUCCCAAGGUUUUAUGUUGACUUCUUUCUUUUAAUCUUCUUUGGAAGCCUUUUGUUUUUAUAUUAUUCCCUGAAAACCCAGGCGUUAUGCUUGUUGAUUGAUCAUUUUCUUGAUUUUUCUUAAUGAUUUUAUGUUGGAAAUUUGCUGACUUCAACUUGCCAUUUAGAAACAGAGAAGUUUGGAAAAGAAGUUACAGGAAAAGAAAAGGGCCUCCAUUAAAAGGAGAGAGGUACAUAUAGUCAUUUCUAUCACAUUUUUUGUGUUUCAUUCUCAACUUCUCUAUAACUUCUGUGUUAAUGUUGACUUGCCUGUUUUGUACUAGGUGCAAUCUAACAAAAAUGACAAUCAGAGGCAGCCACGCAAUGAAAAAUGUGAACUUGCUUUGGAUGGAACUAUUUCUAAUGAACAUCUUGAUCAACUUGCAAUGUUAGUUGAUGAUGAAGAAUUGGAGUUGAGGGAGUUACAAGCUGGACCAAAUCCAUUAACAUGUGCGGAUCAUCUUGGUACAAGCGGAUUGCUUGGUUGUUCCCUUUGCAAAGGUUGGGUGGCUUAGUAUUUUUUUAUUUUAAGAAUGCGUGAGCAAUUUUUUAAAUCUUUUUUGUGGCAUUUAUUUGAUGUGCAUAUAGAAGGUAAUUUUCUUUCUGGAGUUCUAUUAAAGAACCUCUAUGUGGUUUCCCAGAUUUGCUGGCUAAGUUUCCACCAGAUUCAGUUAAGAUGAAGCAACCAUUCAGUAUGCAACCCUGGGAUUCCUCUCCAGAAACUGUCAAAAAACUGUUUAAGGUGCCUGCCACGCCUUAUGUUCAUUAAUGUUGUUCAUUUAGUAUUAUGGAAAAAAGCCCUUUUAUCAUGCAUGGUAUUUGCUCUGCAUCAUCUUUUUCCCUUUGUUCUCAUCCUCUAAAUCUUGCUGAAGAAAUUUUAAUCUUAAAGCAUGCUUCCAGUGGCUGUAUGUUAUGAGUCAUCUGUUCCUUUAUUUUUCUGAAGUGUCUUGCUUAACUAUUGUUUGAAAUUCUUUUGCAGGUUUUCCAUUUCUUGUAUACCUAUUCGGUAACUCUUGACACAUGCUCAUUUACACUUGAUGAGUUUGCUCAAGCAUUCCAUGAUAAGGUUAUAUCUCAUCUAGAUUAUACCAUAUACAUUGAAAUGCUUGGCUUAUAUUUAUUCUCUUUUUUUUGUCUUUCUAUACAUGUAUCCAUCUCAGGAUUCCUUGUUACUUGGGAAAAUUCAUGUGGCCCUUCUCAAGCUUCUUUUGUCUGAUGUUGAAGUGGAGUUGAGUGGUGCAGUUUUGCCUCAUUUUAGCUUGUCUUGCAAGUUCCUUGCUCUACUUCACUCGGUGAGUAAUGACCAUGCAGGUUUAUAUAAAUGCAUGCUUGAAUGUGCGUCUGUUUGCUUGCAAUGGUUGUGCUGUGGGGGAUAUCCUCUGUUUUGUUUUACUAACAUGUCAUAUUACUUAGGUGGUCUUGCUGGUUGCUCAGUUAUGAAUAGGAUAAGCAAACCUUCUUGGACAUUAUAGAUUUUUUCUUGUUGAUGUAUAUAAUGUUAUUUAGAAUGCUUUUGAAAAGAAUUUCAAAGUGGUAGACCAAAAAAGAAGGCCAGAUUCGAUUAUUUUAUUACUACAAAAUAGAUCCAUUGAAAACAAAGCACUUGUCAGACAAGAUCCAUUUUUCAAGAUUUUGUUGCUUGAGUUAUAUUUUGCUUAAAUAGGACUUUCUGGUAUUGAUCAAGAUUGAGAUGACGACACAUUGCUUCCAUUUCUCUGUUUAUUAAAAGAUAAUAUGUUAAAAUGACGUGUAUUCAAUGACUUGGCUGGGCCUGGUAUUCUGAUCUUGUUCCUUCAUAUGUGAUAGCUUUAACCUUAACUCAGCUUAAAUGAAUCAUCGAACCAGUUCCUGAGCAUGUUUAAGUGGAAAUGUUUGUAUUAGCAAAGUACAUGCAUGUGCAAUAGGAAGAAAAAAUUAAUAAAUAAGGUAAGAGGCAUGUAUACCAUGGUCUUGAAAUGCUUCCUAAAGUAGUAUAUGGAUAUAUCAGUUGGCUCUUUUAAAGCUUUUCUGGGAAGUUGAUAACCUUUCUGGAAAAAUCCCUUGGAUGUUGAGGUAUUGAUUGUCAGAGGAUAUUGGAGCUCUAUGUCCUUGCUAAAGAAAUGGAUGUGAUUGUUUUCCUUUUUAACUUAUCAGGUGGAGAACCAAGAAUUUGUGGUUGAGGUCUGGAAGACAUCCUUGAACCCUCUGACAUGGACAGAAAUACUGCGCCAAGUUUUAGUUGCAGCUGGCUUUGGUUCGAAACAAGGUCUAUUACGCAGGGAAGCCCUUAAUAAGGUAUGAGUACAUUGUUUUUAUGAAUUAUCAAACUCCUUUGAAGUUCCUCUAUGAUCCAAAGAUCCAUGGUUAUAUUUGAAAUAUGUCAUUUUAUAUUUAAUCUUCUUUCCUAAAAUACAGGAAAUGAGCCUCAUGGUGAGAUUUGGCCUGCGCCCCGGCAGUUUAAAGAGCGAGCUGUUUAAAAUUUUGUCAGAAAGAGGAAAUAAUGGGCUAAAAGUUUCAGACUUGGCGCUGUCUUUGCCGGUAAGACUAGGACCUAUAUGUGUACAUUUUAUAAAAUGAAAAGGUUCUGUUGCAGAAGCCAACUAAGUUGAAACCCUCAUUUUAGUCAUUAUUAUGACCUUGUUUCACUAUCAAUAUUUUAUUUUAUUUUUUCUCUUUUGAAGGUUACUGAAUUGAAUCUCACUAGCACGACUGAGGAACUCGAAGAAUUAAUAUGUUCAACUCUUUCAAGUGAUAUUACUUUAUUUGAAAAGAUAUCACCAUCUGCAUAUCGUCUGCGCUGUAGUUCUGUUGCAAAGGACAGCAACAAUUGUCAUUCUGAUACUGAGGAUUCUGGAAGUGUUGAUGAUGACUCUGAUGACAGCAGUGAUGAUUCUGACCAUGACCCAGGAAAUUACUAUCAAAGGAAAUUCAAACAUAAUAACCACCAUAAAGGUAGAAAUAACAUGCUGACUGUCCACACUGAAAUUGAUGAAAGCCAUCCAGGAGAGGUGUGGUUGCUAGGACUUAUGGAAGGUGAAUAUUCUGAUUUGAGCAUUGAAGAGAAGUUGAAUGCAUUAGUGGCUUUGAUUGAUCUUCUUAGCGAUGGUUCCAGUAUCAGAAUGGAGGUAAACCAUUUUCACCUGGCCAAAUUGACUCCCGCUCCUCCUUUGUCACCUCUUCACCCAAUUAAAAUUGAAAUAAAUAAAUAACAAUAAUAAAAGAAAGAAAGAUUGAAGAAUCUCCUCUCCUGCUGUCUUGUUUGGUACGUUGCUUUGAUGGCCACUAAAUUUUUUUAAUGGAUCUCUUUUUCUCUUUUUCUUGAGGACCAUGAUCUGUACAAUGAUUAUUUUGGAUAUUUUAUGUCAAGUAUAAACUUCUGACUAUUUAGAGUGUUGUAGGUAUUUAAAUAAAAUCAUGAAGUCUUUUAUAUUUUAGUCUUUGUCUUGCCAUGUUCCAUCCUUGUCUAGCUGAAAUGUUUCUUAUCCUGCUUUGAAGUUAUGAAUCUUCAGUAGUUCCAUAUCUGGUAGUUUCUCAUUUUACUCUUUUUCCAGAAUCCUGGUAAAGCCAUUGUUGAGUAUGUUCCCAGCAUCCCUCACUAUGGUUCUGGAGCCAAAAUUAAGAGGUCAUCAUCAAACCGACAGAAUUUUCCUAGGCCAUCUUGGGUCUAUGGUGGACAAAGGAAUGGUGUACAAGUAUCACACACAUCAUCAGACUCUCGCCCAGUUGAUUCAUCAGCAAUUACAAAGUCUUUUGAAAAAGAGAGAUGUUCUAGCAGUGGACAGGAUGCAAAACAAACUGAAGUAGGAGUGUAUAUACACCCAAUGCAAUCUAUCUUUCUAGGCUCUGAUCGCAGGUACAACAGAUAUUGGCUUUUCUUGGGCCCUUGUAAUGCAUAUGACCCUGGACAUAGGAGGAUUUACUUUGAAUCUUCGGAAGAUGGUCAUUGGGAAGUUAUAGACACCGAAGAGGUAACCCUAUUAGCUUGUUAUAAUGCAUGUCCCUUUCUUCAUUUGCAUUAAUAUUGAUUAAAAAUUGUCUUCUCAUUUCUUUAUUGAGAUAUCUUCUCAUCAUAAAGUGAGGAUUACUCUUUACCUAAACGUCGAUACAUAACCUGAAAGAAAAUUUGGAGUUCUUUUCAGUUUUCCUUCAGACGGUAAGUGAUUGUUCUUGUGUGAACAAAACUUUUUACUGUUAUUAUUUGUUUGUCCUUAUUGUGGUGCAGGCAUUGCGGGCCUUAUUGGCAGUUUUGGAUGACAGGGGUAAACGUGAAGCUCUUCUUAUUGAAUCAUUAGAGAAGCGGGGAACUUCACUACGUCAAGAAAUGUCAAGUAGACAUUUACAUGAUGCAGAAAUCAGGCACACACCGUCUUAUUCACCUGAAAUGGAUGCAGUCAGAGAAGAUAGCUGUUCUCCAGUUUCUGAUGUUGACAACCUCAGCUUGACGGUGGCCAUGAAUGCAUCUUUAACCUCAUGCGGUGCUAUAGUUCUUCAUGCUGGAAAGAAGGGAGAAGAACAAAAUCGAAUGUGGAGACGUCUUCAAGAAUUUGAUGUGUGGAUAUGGGAUUGCUUUUACUUGAACCUUAAUGCUGUAAAGCACAACAAGCGUUCUUAUCUUGAUUCUCUUACCAGAUGUGAAAGUUGUCAUGAUUUGUACUGGAGAGAUGAGAAGCACUGUAGGAUUUGCCAUACCACAUUUGAGAUUGAUUUUGAUCUAGAAGAAAGAUAUGCCAUCCAUGUGGCUACGUGCAGAGAGAAAGGAGACAAUAGUACAUUUCCUAAAUUCAAAGUCCUCCCAUCACAGUUGCAAUCAUUGAAAGCUGCAGUCCAUGCAAUUGAGGUGCACUUUGUUUCUUUAUUGCCUUUUGGAUUGCUACCUUACUUUCUGUAUAUAAAAAACUAUAUCGUAUAUUACAUUUUCAUAUGAACACAAAGAACAUAGGCACUUGCCUGGAUCCCGUACAUCCCUACUAGUGGACAUAGCAUGCAUAUGCUUCAUUUUUCUUUGACCAUCUUUUUUUGCCAAGGACUGUUGGUCAGGCACAGGCCUUUUGUGUCAAGGUUUUAUCUUUUAUUUGAAAGGCAAUAGGCACAUAAAACUCAUACCUUCGUAUCUCAUUGGUUUUUUUAGUCUCUGUAUAUUUUAUUAGUUGUACUUCAAAUAUUCAAAAAAUGACAAUGCUAACUCUCUUCACAAGAGAUAAAAUGGGCAAUGAAGUCCCUGCACAACUUUUUGUGGAAGAUGGAGGGUUAAGGAAACAUAGCUUGUAGAUGAUUAUGAUUUAUAGUGCAUUAUGAUGAUACUUGAUCUUUGAAACACAUUCAAGCCAUGUAAGGAGCAAAUUGUUCAAUGUUUAUUAAUAGAUUAUGCAUUUUACAUGUGGCUUUGUGAGAAAUCUGUUGUAUCUUUUCCUUUUUUAGCAGUAAUUCAGUAUUGUGUAUAAUUCAUUUAUAUAUGUAAAAUAUUUAGAAAGAGAACAAACUUCAUGGAAUUAUUUUUAUUUAAUCAUUGUUUAUAUUUUCUUUCUUUACUUUUGUGCAGUCAUUUAUGCCUAAAGAUGCUUUAGUUGGUGCUUGGACAAAGUCUGCUCACAGGUUGUGGGUCAAACGGUUACGACGGACAUCGUCUUUGUCUGAGCUUUUGCAGGUAGUCCUUUGUAGUUACAUGGUUUGAGUUCUCGAAGUAUUGUGAUAAAUUUUUUGUAAUGAGGCUAAUUGUAAAUCAUUGUCAUUUUUGGAACUGGACUAUUUGCAGGUUAUUGCUGAUUUUGUUGCAGCAAUUAAUGAGAAUUGGUUGAACCAAUGCCAUAUUGAGCAAGGGGGUUGUACUGUUAUCGAAGAAAUCAUAGCAUUCUUUCCAACUAUGCCCCAAACAUCAUCUGCACUUGCACUCUGGUUGGUGAAGUUGGAUGAGUUUAUUGCAUCAUAUUUGAAGAAGAUUCAUUCUGAAAAGGAACUGGAAAAUGGGACCAGAUCAGGUAUAUUCCUUUAUCUACAAGUUUUCUUUACAUGUGCAGUCUUCUGGUCGUCAAAGUUGAGCAUCCUGUUUCUUUCUCUUCACUAUAUGAAUUGUUCUGUUUACAGGAUGAAGAUUCAUUUAUGAUACAUAGAAGGCGAUUGUUGUGCAUUUUAAUUUCUUAACUAUGAGUAGUUGAUAUUUAAGUUUGUGAUAAUCACACUAGAUCUUUCUUUAUACUAGUUUUGGUGGUGAUGGCAUUUCUUAAUAAGCAGAGAAUAUUUCUAAAGUUUAGGUUUUAGCUUCGGUGACAUUUUCAAGAAUUAACCUUGAAGCUUCGUUCUAGCUGCUAGUUAGUUCUCCUGCAAUUUCUUUGAGUUUUCUUGAUGAUGGAUUGAAAAAGAUACGAAACAUUGCAAAAUUUGUUUGUUCUCAAAUGUUCAUCUCUAUUCCGUUCUUUGCAAGUGAUGACUGCUGCGUUGUGUUUAAUUUUUGUAUCUUAAGACUGAUUAUCAGGAUAGCAUGGCUCUGAAUGGAAUUGAGGCUGGUUAUUUUGAGCUAUAGAUAUAGUUGCCUUAUUUAUUCUUCUUUUCAACAGUGUGCGGAGAGGUUACCUGCUAGGAUGACUAGUUAGAUCAGAUAGGUUUGUUGAUUUUUACUUAAACAACAUUGUGAAGUUGAUUGUUCUGGCAAUUAUCAUCUUCGAAAUCGUCGGCAAGGAUUUACAUUAGUUAAAAAAACAAACCUAUUUGUCAUUCACCAUUUGAGCUUUGCAUCAUUUUUUUUCCAGUUGUCCAUUUAGGUAAGUGGAAAAAUACAGUAGUGCUUUUUUCGUAGUUAUCCUCGGAUAUCCACAAGCUAAGAUAGGGAAGUAGAAAGAAACAUGCAUAGGUUGGACAUGCAGAAUUUUUGUGAUUUCCAUUGCUUGUACUUUCCCUUUCAUUCCAGAUCAUUUUGCUGAUUCUCGUUUGUAUUAUAUUCUAGAGUUAAUAUGUUUUUAUCUCUCUUUGGCAUAUUUCAGAUAGAAGAGCAGCAAAAGAAUAAAAACCCAGCUAUUUUCAGGGCUUAUACAAAUGGGGAGCACAUUUGAUUAUACAAAGCAUUUGACUUUCUUAUUUUCUCUUUGCUCUUCUAAUUACUUAACCAGCCCGACUAUUCAUCAUUGGGAGCUUUCUUUGGUGCGUUAGGAGUUUUAUUUCAAAGGACGAGAGCAGAAUAGCGCAUGAGACUGUACAGAACCAAGUUUUGACAAGAUUUUGAAUGUUCCUUAACCAGGCAAUCUGAACCUAUUUAGAUGUUGUACAGAGUUAGCUUCAUACAUAUGCAGGAAAAUCAAGUUUUUUAUACAAUGGAUACCCAAGUUAGUGGAAUAUGAUUACCAUUUUCUACCUUUCUUAAUUGUAGAAAAUGGAAUGUUGCAUAUCCUUGUCUUAAGUGUUGACAGUAAACAUGUCAUUUUUAGUUUUGCAAUUAAGGAAUAAAAUGAGAUCAGCAUAUGUGGCUUAAGUUGACGUGUUAAUUUCCAGUUUCUUUAUCUUAUAAUUUGUUGAAAGGUCUUCAAUAAUAUAGUUUUAUCUUGCUGGCAUUUUGUAUUUGGAUUCCCUUGAAGCGGAAUUCAACAAAUCUGGUAUUGUAUUUUGGGGAUGUCUAUGCUGACUAAGGGAAAACAGAACUUGAAGGGAUCGUUUCUUAAAAACAUAAUAGUAUCAACUUUCAAAAUAGUAGGAACUACAAAAUGGAUAUAUAAAAAUUCAGGUUCAAACCAACACUGAAUAUGGCUUCAUCAGCCUAACAAUAUGAAAGGUAGUAUAUGGUAUCAAGAUGAAUGUUUAAGAAGCUUCACGGUCUCGUAAACAGCUGAAAAGUCAAGGUCUCCCAAUCCCAUGCUUCUGGCCUUCUUGAAAGCCUACCAAACACAAUUCCAAAUAAGAGAAAAAGGGGUUUCAGUUUAGUCUUCAUUUAUGUGUUUUUCUCUUCAUGCCCUAGUAACUUCCAUAAGUAAUCUAAGUGCACCUUUACAUUACGUGUAUGUAUUAGGGUAUUUUAGCUCAUGCAGGAUAUCUCUUUGGGCUUAAGCAUAUAUACUAUGCAUGGAGAGGGGCAAGCAAGGAUUGGGAAAAAAAAACCUCAUUAGCAGCAGCAGCUACUGGCAUUGAUACUGCAUUUUGAUCCCCAAGGGCAAGAGCCAACCUCAUAUCUUUCUGCUGAUGUUUCAAAGGAAAUGCAGGGGAAUAAUUGUCUUUAACCAUUUCUGGUCCCUUUCCUCUAAACAUUGGGUUGGCAAUCCCACCCAAGUCCUGCCACAAAACUUGGAUCAGCCACUGGACCUUUCAUUGUGGCGACAGCUUGUUAGAUUAUUUAGUUGUUGCAAUCUUACCAACACGUCAAGAAGGCUAUGUGGAUUCAAUCCGCUUCUUUUGGCCAGUGUAAGUCCUUCCGAAAAUGCAUUCAUCACACUACGGAGGACAAAAUGAACGUCCCGAUCGAGUACCCGGAUUUGUCAACUCAAAUGAAAGGGGUAUGUUGACAUAUUUACAGCAUAGUAGUAUUCCAAAAUGCAUGAAUAGUUGAAAUAAGUAUUACCUGCCCAUUAUCAUGUUGACAACAAGUUUCAUUUUGGCUCCAUUACCAACUGGUCCCAAGAAGAAAGAUUUCUUUCCUAAUACAUCAAAAGCUGGAACAGCUUCUUCAUACAAUGCCUACAUAUACAGUGGUGACAUAUUGCAGUUAACAUCAAAGUGAAGGUAAAUUUGCAUUCUAUAGAGAUGAGAUGUUUUAGUAGAAAUGAUGAGAAGAAAAAGGAUGAAUGGAUUCCAUUGUCUUCCACUAUUAUUUUUCUGCUUCUUUUUACCAUAGAAGUGAAGAGCAUUUGAACAUUUAAGUUUAGCCUACAAUGUCACUUAACAGAGGUUCAAUUUGAUCAAAAUAUGAAAUCAAAUGUAUAACACAUUAGUUAAUUAUGAUUCUCUAAUUAAGGCUUAGCUUUCUAUAUUAUUUUAGUUGGUUUUCCUUAUUUAAUAUGACAUGAACCCUAGAGUUCUCGUCUCCCUUCGACGAGUUGAACAAUCAUUCAAAAUAGAUCGUCCCUAGAAUCAUGAUAGAGGGAAGGCAAUCCAUUUUGACUUUCUUGUCAAAUUUCUCUUAUUCUUAACAUAUCCAUAUCCGCCACUCACAUAAAGGUAAGGUGGUAUGGUUUACCAAAUACAUGAAAAAAAACUUUAAAAAAAGCAUUAAACAUACCCAUAUCCGAUACUUAUCCAUUCCAUUUUUACCUGGUCCGUGUGAACUUAGAAUAAAAAAAAAAAUAGUAUUGCCAAUUGACCUUAUCUCCAGCUGCAAGAAUCACAAGUUGACCAGUUUCUGCGGGCUGUUUGCUACCAGAAACAGGUGCCUCAAGGAAGUGGCUGUUUGCAAGAAGUCUCGGGAUCAACAGUUGACAUGUCAAUAUAACCUUUCCCACUACAAAUUUGGUCUAGAACUCCAUCUUUGUCAAAUACAACCUAAAGCAAUCAUCAAAUACAUAGUUUAUGAUGACGAGAUUUUAAUCAGGACGGCAAUGGUUGAACUGAAAACUGUACGUGCACCCAAUGUUUGUAAAUUAAAUACCGAAAGAGCAGCAGCAGGGUCAGACAAAAUGGCAAUGGUGAUGUUGCAUUUCUUUACUACUUCUGCAGGGGUUUCUCCAACUGAGGCACCAUGAGCCACCACUUCAUCACACUGCCAUUAUAAAAUUUUAGUGUCACAAAUAAGGCUGAUAUCAGGCUGCAGAUACUCCAAUAUACAUAUACAAGGCUGUCAACCCAAUACAUAAAACUAAAAACAAAUACAAACCCAUCAAUCAGAUAUAGAAAUGGAAACAAACUGCAACUGGCCGUGCUAUUACUUUAGUAGAGUAAUGAAAACUUUUUGAAAAGGUACCUUAGAAAGAGUUCUGUUCCAAACAGUGACUUUGAAUCCAUUCUUCAGCAAAUUCAUGGACAUAGCUUUUCCCAUUAUUCCCAGUCCCAAAAAUCCAACCUCCAUUUUCUUCUUCUUCUUCUUCUUCUGUCACUAAUGAACUUUUUCUUUGAUAGUUCUAUGCGUUAUUUUCUUACCAGGCUCCAAUCUUUAUAAAUACCCAAAGGAAAACAUAAAGAAUAUCUUUUUAACGUUAAUGAUGACAAAAAUAUAAUAAAAUCAAUGUCAUCCUUGUCAUCGCCACUAACAUUUUUAAUUUAAAUAAAUUGCCAUCAUUAUGAAGAUUUCUAAUUAAUUUAAAUAAAUUGCCAUCAUUAUGAAGAUUUCUAACUUUGAUGGUGUAUGAUAAACUAAAUAUUUCAAUAUUUUUGUAUUCAUCGUGUUUGUCGUUUAAUAGAUAAACAAAUGCAUAACACGUAAGCCCAUAUUUUAAUGGUAGGGGAGAUGGUGCUUCAGUCCACUAUUCUUGGAAUUCUCUAAGGCUCUGUUGGGAUAAGUUCCGGGGGGGUGGUUCACGGUUGUUUGCUGGCGGCCUAGAUUUCAAACCGUUGCAGGCAGCGGCUGGGCUUACUUAACUAACACUAAAACAACCCGCCAAAAUUUUCACUCAUUGAUAAUGAAGACAAUAAGUGAUCAGAGAAGAAGAACAAUAACUCAUAGGAGAAGAACAACAGCAACAAGAUCAGAAAAUGGCAAAAAAAAAUAUUAAACAAGAAGAAGAAAAGAACGUUUAUGGUGUAUGGGUUCAGAGGUGAUGCAGCAAAAACAAAAGGGUUCAGACUGUUAUUGACUAGUGCAAUCCUUAGAUUCAACUAAUGGUUCACUCAUCAACACCUUGCUCAGGCUUCUCUCGAGGUCUUCAGGGCAUUUAAUUUCUUUUAUUUUCUGUAUAUUUAUACUAUUAAUAAUAUUAUUACUAUUUGUUUGUCUUCCAAGUUCUUUUGCUUCUGUAGUUCUCUGUUUUUGUCUUCGUUAAUAACAGACCCUUUAUGAAUUCCAUGUUGCAGCCAGCUGCUUAUAUGCAAACAGCUAUGGGAAGAAGGAGAGAGCCAGAGGGGGAAAGAGGGUAUGCUUGUUUUGGAAAAGAAGCAAAAAUUAUCUUUACUUCCCAUUUGUCAAAAUGGCAUAGAUUUGAUAAUUUUACAAACCAUACGAAAUUUUAUACUAAUAGUUUAAGAAACAGAUAAUACAAAUACUAAAUUUGUAUUUUAAUUGUUUUAUGCAUUUUGAGGCAUUAUGGACCACUAAUGUGCUUCUUUUUUCUUUUUUCUUUCACUUAUUUAUGAAAUAAUUCUACGUUGAGACAAAAAGGAAAUUGAAGAAACCAGUGGCAUAUAUUCUCCUAAACUUCUUGUGGAUCAGAAGACUCUCUUCUACUGAUCAGUUCUCUUCUUCUAUUGUAUGCUCAGCAAUGGUUUCCGCCUCUACCCCCAAUUAAGCUUAAUAUCACCCAGAAAUGUUUAAUAACAGAAAGUAGCAGAAUAAAAAUUCAAGUACGAAAAUGGCUAUGCUGGGAGCAAGUCCAAUUAGGUUCUCAAGCUUUCCACCGUCUUCUUCAUAUCUCACUUCCACCUUCAAACCCACCUCCUCUUCCACACUAUCAUUUGUAAGUUUAAUACUAUAGUUUACAAUUUUGUAUUUUUUAUACCUUACUCUAAAAGUAAGUUCGGAGUUGGAAUCUUUUAUCCGCAGGUUGUGGUGGGGAAAUCAAUUAUCUAUCGUCGAUGUGUCGCCUGCUCCGCUGUUCAGGAAUCUUCUACUCCUACAGGUAGCUUUUUCCCUUCUUAUCAGUGUGCAAAAAUCCUUUUAAAGCUCAUCUUCUAAACUCGGGGUUGCUUAAAAAUGUGUUGGCUUUUUUCCAUUAGCCACUGCUGAAACCAAGGGAACCACUCCACCAUCAGCCGGCGUUGCUGGUGGUGAGGAGGAAGUGAAGGCAGCCCCAAAAGCAGCUGCAGCAAAGCCUAAACCUGCUGCAAAGGCUCCUGCCAAAUCUUUGCCGGAGUUGAUGUCGGAGGAUGUCAUCCCUUCAUUGAAAACAAUACUUGAAGCUCAAGAUGAUAUAUCUGAAAUUGAACUCACUUUCCAAGACAACAAGGUUUGUUCUAAUCCAUCUUUUUCCCCAAGAUUUGGCAUUUUAAAUUUGCUCUAGAUGAUGAGGUCUAUGAAUGUUCUUCCCAUUCAAACUCGACAGUUGGAAGGUUCAUUCCUGAAGGAGGGCUGUCCCUACUCUUUCUGGGCCUUCUUCCCUGAUGGAGGCCUAACAGGUAUUGUAUAAUUUGGGCAAAUUGGAAACUAUGUAUCAUUUCCAUUUCUGCAGUAAUUAUGUUGACUAAUUUUCUCCCAUUUGCUUGCGUAGGUCCCAAAGGUUUUUCAUUGUCUUCAUAUGGCUCAGGAGCAAGCACUGUGGAGCCUUUCCUCGUUGAUGAGAAGAAAAUUACUGCAAGGCAUGUAGUUUUCUGGGUCGAAAAGCGUUUGGCCGCCCAAGGAAUUAUUCCUGUCUGGAAAGAAUGAUUUAUAGCAUAACAAGAAAUGCUGCCAUGUAAUUAUUCAUGUCUGAAUAUAAUGCUCUCAUACAAAAUUUUCCAAUUCAUAAUUGUUCUACAAUUUGAAAAAUGAAUCUUUUUAGAUGCUUAAUUCAGGGCGAUGUUAGAAAAGCAAAUAACAAUUCCCAUCAUCAUGUCAAACCUCUAGGUUGAAUAAAAGAUAAGUAAAAAGGGCACUGCAGCUUUAAGUUUUGACUUAACAAUACAACUCUGAUUCAGUUUAGCAGUCAUUCCUCCCUAAAAACACAUAUAUGAAUGAUCAGUCUUAAAAAGAACAACAGCUCAAAUUUACUAGAGAGAGAUUUGCAUUCAUCAAAAUCCAUACAGGUCCGGCAACAAAAUACCCCUCCCCUACUACUGUCUCAUAAAAGGAAAGAGAAUAAAAACACCGCCUUAGAGUUCCAGAGUAAUAAUAUAACAUUGUAUAGCUGACAGAUUUCAUAACGUUUUCAUCUAAAUUACAUGUCCAAGGACCAGGACAUAAACAAAUGCCUGGACCACGCUUUACACUGAAUAACACGAUCGCCCAAAUAAGUAGCAUUUGAUUUGAGUAACUAAUGAACACAUACAACAGGUACUUUGAGUGCAAAGUUCAUGAAGUUCUUCAUAAGUCCACAUCUGCCAUUAUCACACUUUGUCAGUAGUUAGUUGUCAGUAUUGGCAUUUCGAAUUGCACGACGAAGCUCAGCUAAGAAAUCCAUCUGUGAGCCAGAUGAAGGCCCGGUAUUGUUUGCUGGGGACAUCAUCUGAGGAAAAGCAAGUCAAAUGCAUAAGGAAUGGAGACUGUGAGAAAAAGAAGAAGAGUUGAAGGAUGAAAGAAUACCUGAUGGGGAAGUCUGACAUUCCUCCAGGCUGAAUCACUAAUUCCAGAGUACAGAACUGGUCUUUCUGAAACAAGGAAAAACCACAGUAAAAGGAAACAACCAUUAUGGAAGAAAAUAUCCAUGAAUAAACAACAAUGGAAACAAGGUCAGGCAUAAGGAGAAACAGGAGAAACAAAAAAUAAAAAUAAAAAACGACAUGACAAAGGAUGCCCAAUAUGACACUCCCAAGAGCCCCUAAACAACAGGCAGCAAACACAGAACUGCUUGCAACCUCAAAUCUAAAAGAAAGAGCAACACUCAGCACAUUAGUAGCUUUCUUUAACAUCAUAUUAGCAGCAACACAGAGUGGUAUAGAAGCUCGUGGAAUUAUUUUAAGAAGAUUCAUAACCCAUGCUUGGGAUGAGGAACCUUGGAACAUAUUAACAACAGAGUUCUUAGAAAACCAAUGAUUUAUCCACUAGCAUAAUUCAGGCUGGUUUGUGCUAGUCAUGAAUUAACUUGGCCCAAACCGAUCCUAAAUAUCUCAUAUGGAUUGGAUAUCUUCGAUGAUGCUGACAACCUUGUAAUUCACUCCUUCCAAUCCCUUCAACUUAACUUAUGCAUACAUCAGUUAUCAAAGUACGGCAUCAAUCUUCGUGGGAAUGGUUGUCUCAUCCCCCAGCAAGGAAAUUAUCUCAUAGUUAGCAGUUAGAGGCCACUAUUCUACUUAGCCAGAUCAACCAACUUCGACCACCUAGUAAAAACGAAACUGAUAAUAGCUACUACAUUGAAGAUGCCUUAGUUUUCAAAAAAUUGGUUGCCAAGAGCCCAAAGAAAACAUCCCCGGACUUCCUCCAUUCCUUUUGCCUAAAUUAGGUUGUGCUUAAUUUCGGUUUUGGAAAUAAAUAACUAACAACCAGCAUUUUUUCCUUGCCAUCAACUAAUGCAGAACUUUUGAUGCAAAGAUACGUUUGGAUCAGUGCAAAGUAAAUAAAACUAAUGCAGACUUUUACAAGCCAGCCAGCCAUUUGACCCAUCAGUCCAUAAAUCUCCAGAGAUGAAUUAGAUCAAAAGAUCAGCCAAAAUGUGAGAAAAACAAGAUAGAACAUAUCAUGAAUCUAAUAUCAUAUAGAACAAGAAAAGCCCCAACCAACUAAUCCCCUUGCCCCCUUUUCUUUUUAGGCCAGGAGGUUUACAGAGAUGUAUAGACCUAGAGUAGAAUGUCUCUUGCAAUAAAAACCUUUAUUAAUUUUCUCAAAGCGUUAUCCUGUAGUUGAUAAGGAGACCUUUGUUGCUAAUCACAGAAGUCUAUCCAAUUGCUCAUAUUAUUUCCAUUCUCCAACCAUCUUCCAUACAUCAUCCAAUCACUAAAACUUCGCCCUUCUUAACAUGCAAAUAGUGUACCACUACGAGAUUUGGUCCACAGAAAGGACCAACAAGCCAAACAAAUCAGAUUCAAAAAGGGAAAUUUUUUAAGUUUUCCAUUCUUCCACUCACCAGACAAGUCAAUGGAUGUAUCAUGGUAGCGAUGUAAGACAGCUGCCCAACCUGCAUUUGUAGAGAUAAACAAUGACAGUAUAUCAGCCAUAUGAUUGCAUGCAUGGGUUCUUAAAAACAUUUAAAUUUCAUCCAACAAGGGUAAUACUUGUCAAACAAGAAUAGAAGGGAGGAAGGAAGUAGCAUUGGAACCGAAGCCCCACCCAAACUACUUCCUACCCUUCAUCACUUAACCAACCAGGAAAAGCCUUCCACAAAACUAUUUAAGCUUCAGCGAAAUACUCCAAUAUCUGAAUCAAUCGUAGAGCUAACCUCUUAAUCUCUUUCAACUACCCUCACCCCAAAACCAAAGAAAAAAAAGAUCUUUCCAACUAUAAGUGGAAUAGCUCACCUAAAUGUAAUGCUGCAUUUAAACAGAAUAAUACAAGAUAAAAAAAAAUCAAUAACUCUAAAUUCAAAGAGGUAACAGAAUCAGCGGCUGUCUUCUUAACAGAAAGUACAAGAAACCAAUCAAAGUGUGCAGAGAUUCCAUACGAUUGCUUAAAAGCCGAGAGGCAUCACUUCUAGAACAGCCUUCUAAAGGUAUCAAAGCAUGACGAGGGUUGUCUUCAUUCAGGAUAGCGCUGCUCCCAGCAUCCCCGACUGGAUUAAUGUUUCUCGAUGUGGCACCUUGAUUCUUCUCUGAAUCAUUCCCAUAAACAUUGUUAGUCCAAUCAAACCGAUCUGCAAGAUUUUAUUACAACUCAGUCUACCAAAUGAAUUGAAAAUUAAAAUCACUCCUUUUUUAAGGGGGUAAACAUUCAUCUAUAAAUCACCGGAAGAAAAAAGACCAAUGAAGAAACCGACCUCCAGAUUUACGGCGUCCGAGAGAACGAUUUCUGCAAUUUUGAGGCAUAAUUUUAGGUAGGACAAGAGGAAAUUAAGAAAGCGAGAACGAAAUUUAGGGUUGUGAAGGUACCGUUGAUUGGGAGGAGCAUAGCGUUUGAUGGCAGGAGCGGCAUCAGCUGCGGUGGGUGUAGGGUUUUCCAACAUCCUCCUCUCCUCACCUCUCUUUUCCUUUACACCGCCGCGUACGAAUGGCGGAUUACAAAAUCCGGAGUUGAUUCGCGAUUGCGUCGCGGCUUGUAAGCUGACUUUCUGGUCCAAAAGCGUUUCUUUACCUUUAUUCAAUCAAAUCCUCACUAAAACGCACCGUUUCUUACAGUUUACUAAUACCCUUGGAAUUACAACCGUGACGGCCCAGCAAAUACCACCCAAGCCUAACACCAAAUAUACCUUUUUAAUUUUGAGAUGUAUCAUCUAUAAAAAUAUUCCACAUAAAAUUACAAAAUUAUUUUAAUUUUGAAAUAAUAUUAAAAAAUAUUUUUAAUUUAAAUAAAUAUUAUUUUAUACACCAGCCGCAAGAUUUUUAAUUCCACAAUCACAAUUAAAAGGUAUUCAGGUGUCCCAUUUAUUUAUUAUUUAUUUUUUAAUUAUCAAUUAAGGACACAUUGUGUCUUCUCACGAAGUUAAGUUAUUUUUAAAUUUUAUUCAAAUAAUAAUUAUCCUUUAAAUAAUAUAAAAUUUUAGUUAUCGAUUCAAUAUGCCCAUUUUAUUAGUUUUUAAGGUUUUUAAAUUUUUUUAAAAAAUAAUAUUUUUGUCAAAUCUUCCCCCAACCACCGACCACGUCAGAUAACAUCAAAUCAAACCAAGCAUUCGAUAAUUUUUAUUAACUAAAGGGAUGGGCAAAAUAUAAAAAAAAAACUCUAUUUUUUUAAAAUUUACCGAAAUGGACCCGGUAUUUUAUUAUUUACCGGAAUGGGCCAUUUUUCCCGAAAUCGCGUCCACGUCAACGCGAUGUCAGGGGAUGUGUCAGCAAAUCGCGUCCACGUCAGAGCGCUUUGCUUACGUGGACACAAAUCGCGCCUACGAGGACGCGAUUUGCUGACACAUCGAGCUGACGUGGAUGCGAUUUCAGGGAAAAUGACCCAUUCCGGUAAAUAAUAAAAUACCGGGCCCAUUUCGGUAAAUUUUUAAAAAAUAGGGCUUUUUUGGUAUUUUGCCCCAAUAUGUAUUACUGUAAUAUGUAGCUCAAAUUAUGUAUUGUAGUUAAUAUUCAUAAUAUUGUAGCUCAAAUUGUCAAUCCGUCUAUACUAUUGUACUAAUAAUAUAUAUUAAUGUAAUAUUGAAGAGUUAAUUGAUUAAAAAAAUAAAUGCAACAAGUACAAAAAAGAUUCAAAAUUAUUACCAACAAAAUUUGAACUAAGGUACUAAAGGAAAAAAGUAAGCAACUUAACCAACUAAGCUAAACUAAUUAAUUAACAUAUUAUAAAAUACUAUUAUUAUCUUAAUUAUAUUACUUACGUUCUAACGAUUUAUCGGACAUAUUCCAUACACGUGUCAAAUCAGAAAAAAUAAUACAAAAAUUCUGUAAAAAAAAUCAGGUGUUUACUUCAAAUAAAUAAGGAAAAUAAUAAUUUGAAUGUUUCAAAAUUCAAUUUUAAACCGAAAAAAUCAAAAUUUAAAGGUAAAAAAGGAUCUUUUUCGACAAAAACUGAGGCAAACCGCCUUCGGCUAUUUGUCAGCGCGUAGAUCUCGAAAAUUUAUUCGAAAUCAAAAAAAAAUCGUCUCAAUCGAACAACCGAGCCAAAAGUUAUGGCCUUUUAAAGUUUUCCAAGCUAAAAAACAUAAACGGUCAAUUUUUUAACCAGUGGGUACUGUUCACGUGCGGCGCAAAUCGCGUCCACGUAAGCGCAAUUUGCUUCCACGUCAGCAUAUCACGCUUAUGUGGACGCGAUUUGUUGCCACGUAAGUAAUCGCGCUGACGUGGACGCGAUUUGCUGAUACGUCCCCUAACAUCGCGCUAACGUAGACACGAUUUCGGGAAAAAUGACUCAUUCCGGUAAAUAAUAAAAAUCGGGCCUAUUUCGGUAAAUUUUUAAAAAAUAUCACUUUUAUGUGUAAUUUGCCCUAAGGGAUCAUUGUUUUUUUUUUUUUUUAUUACUCAAAACUCAGUUAGAUCCACUUUUUUCAUAAAGAUUAAGAUAACUUUUUGUUGAGUUUUUUUAAUCCUUUCACCAAAACAGUAUAAUUUUUAAAUAUAUGAAAAAUUAAAAGAAAUCAAAUAAUUCAUAUUCGCGGUAUCAUCUCCAAAUAUAUGAAAUAAAAUUAUACAUGUAUUAAUCUAUUAGAUAGAUCCGCAGAUUCAACACUCACUCGAAUAAUAGAUCAUAUCAGCUAAGUAAGCUCAAUUAAUUCAUCAGAAACCUAGCCAUUAGAAAAGUACAGCAAAUAAACUUGACUCUAGCCCUUAGACUCAAGCAGACGAACUUGGGAUUUAACAAUUGAGAUCAUGAAACUCUGACGUCGGAAAUUCAUCGAGAUCAUUAUUUCACCAUUACGUGUUUUGUUCUAACAAUGUAAUCAUUCAUCCAUCAAAACCAGGUUAUGAUCAAAACCUGACACUGCUUGUAGAACUUUGAAAUCUUCCAAACAAUCAAGCAACGUUGGCUCGGCUUCAUCGCUGGAGCUUCCUAACCCAAGACGGCCACUCUUACCACAGCCCCAAACCCAUAACUCACCAUGAGAUGUCAGAGCAGUAGAAUGCACCCGCCCUCCUGACACUGAUACAGGUGUUUCCCCUUCCCAUCCCUCGAUCAUUGAUGGGAAAUUCUCCGGUCCUUCUCUACCUAAUUGUGAGCAUUGGUUCCACCCCCAUGAGAAAAUGCUCAUUCCACCACCUUCAACAUCCGAAGAUGGCACCUCACAGAUUGCCAAGGAAUGACCAAGACCGGAUGCAAUAAACACAGGAUGGGCGGUUAGAUCAACAGGUAACAAUCUCAGGUCCAGUUUGGUUCUCCCCAGCUGACCAUAUACAUUGCUUCCAGAGCUCAAUAAAGUACCAUUACCUGAAAUUUGAUACUCAAGAUUAACAAAGAUGCAUAUGCCAGCAACCCCACAUGCUCAAUCAUAGAAUCUACACAAAUUGUAACUUACGGCAAAGAACCAAAGAAUGAUCAAGCCCGCAAGCAAUGUCUCUGACUUCAACUCCUUGCAGUUCUUCGACCAAUCGAGGUUCCCAAAUGAUUUGCAUGUCUUUCUCUUUCUCCAUUCCUUCUAAAACCAUCAGCUCGGCAGCAUCCAAUCCUGAACCUGAAAACCGUUUGUCAUUCAUCGAUAUAUUCGCAUUUGAGUCCAGAGGAGACGCCUCUAAAGCUUCCCCCACAUUUCCAAUCCUACCAUCGGCUGAAUAACCCCAGCCUAACAACUUUCCAUCCUCUGUCUGUGCAAGAGCAUGCCCCCAACCAAAUGAAACCUGUCAAAGAAAAUGCAACCAUGGAAUUUCCUUCUAAUUGGAUGAUAUACAUUAGCUCAAGCUCAAGCAUACUACCAAAAAUUGCAACGAAGUUAGGGGCUAGAUUAAUCUACCUUAAGAAUUUAGGAAGCCCACCUUGACUAUCUUUUCUCCUGCAAGUGCUUCAACUCUGCGAGGUACUACGGUCUCAAUGAUACCCUUUCCAAGACCAAGCUGUCCCCGCUUAGACUUCCCCCAUACCCACACAGAACCAUUACUGUCAAUGGCAGCAGAAAUAACACCAGAAGCAAAAGCAGCACAAACAUUCACAUGAUCCAACCCUUCCACUCUCUUUGGAUCAUUCCAAGAAUCUCUGCUCACAGUCAACAGUUACCCAUUUCGCAUUAGGGUAAGUCAUUAGAUUCAAUGUUCACCAAUAAUAACACUUCCACAUAUCACUAACUAUGCCAAAACAACUACGUUUUAUUCAUAAGAAAAUCCAGGACCAGCAAUAAUUGGGUGAAGUUAUUCAAUGUAUCAAAACAUCGCUCAACUAAUACCAAAGUAAAUCAACAUUCUAUAGAACUGACCUCGGGGCAAGUGGAUCACGACCCAGCUGGGAUUCCUGGUUGCGGCCCCAAGCCCAGAGUCCACCACGGCAAUCAAUAGCGAGCGAGUGAUAAUGGCCAGCGCUGAUGCUGGUGAUAUCGGAAGGGAGACCGAGGACCCGGGUGGGCUCGUAAGCAUCGCCUCUGGGACCGGUCACUGAAUCGGGUAGACCCAACGCCCCCUGGCUUCCGUCCCCAAAGCUCAUUACCGUACUCAUCCAUCUCGGUUUAUUAGUAGUAACCUGAGCGAAUAAGGCUUUAGAUGAAACUGCAACUACCGUUUUAUUCCAUUGAUGAUGCUUCCAUAACAAUCGGUUUAUCAGCAUCUUAGCUUCGUGAGUGCGUCGGCAGUGGCCAAUCCGCUACUGUAAAUUUAGGAAGAAAUGAGCUGAUGGGUUGACCCAAACAAAUUAGGGGCGGUUCGGGAUUGGCAGGUUGGUGCUAAAACCACUUCUAAACUUCAUAAUCAAUCCCAAACAAGUUGAUUUUGCUACCAAAAGCACUUUCAAGAAGUGUUUAUCUAGCCAAAUGGGAUAGAGAGGAUUUUUUCGCAAAUGCUUUUAAAAGACAUUGCUUUUCACAAAUAUAUUUUUGGGUUAAAUGUAAUUUUGAAGUCAGAAACAAACAGAAUUGUUAAAAAAAAAAGUGUUUUUUCAAUUCAGAAGUAAAAGUAGUUUUUUUUAGCUUAUAAAAGUACUUUUAAAAAUAAAUGACAAUUUUAACUAUUAUAAUGUAUUUUAUAUAAUAUUUAUAUGGUAUAUGUAAUUAUUUUCUUAUUAAAAUUUAUUUUAUAUAUAAUAUUAUAUAUUUAAAAUUUUAUUGAUCAUAUUUUAUUAUUUAAAAUAUAGUUUAUAUAUUCGAAUUUAAAUUUUAUGAAUAAUUAAUAUUAAUUGCUUAAAAAUAUUUAAAAUUUAUAUUUUAUAUAUUAAAAUAUUAACAACAAAUUAUAAUAAAUUAUUUUUAUAUUCUUACUAAAAUAUUAUAAUAUCAAUUAAUUUAAACAUUAUUUAAAUGCAUAUUUAUUACUUUAUAACACAAUGUCUAAAAUAGAUAUUUUAUUUAUCAAAAAUACUUUUUAACAGUAUCUUAAAAUUACUUUUCCACAGCACUUUUUAAAAACACUUUUCAAAAAUAAUGCUAAAUUGGCCUAAAUAUUUUUGGACUGCUAAAGCAAUCCCAAAUAGAUUGCUUUUUUAGCUAAAAGCAUUUUUAUUAACUCAAAGAAGCUAAUAUCAAGUGCACUGGCGGUUGACUUUGAUUAUUUGAGGUGAGAAAAUUACAAUUUUACCUUUAGUAAUUUACUUUUAUCUAUUCAAGUACAAAGUACAAUAGUGUAAGCCUUUAUUUAAGUAUAGCUUUAUUCAAUGUACAUCACACAAUAAAUAUUAUAAGUGAAUAAAUCUAUAAACGGAUUUAAGAUUUAUUCUAGUUGGGUCUUGUCUGAUGCACUGUCAAUUCAAUCGGUCAUAUCUAUGUCUGUAUCUUUUGAGAGUCAUCCGCUAUGAUAUCUAAGACAAUAUAUCUCAUUAAUUAGACUUUAUAGACGGCAUAUUAAUCUUUCAAUCGAUUUGCUCAUUUUCGGUUAAACUAAGGACAUGUUUAGGUUCGUCUACUGAUAUAAGUUGUCGUUCCGUAUUACGAUUUGAUCACGUAAUACCGCUUAGUAUUAGUUAAUAUUAAAUAACCAGUGAGCUAAUAUUUGCUUCCAUUUUGUUUUGCAUGCAAAAACCAUUGAGAAUAGUAUACAAAGGGUAUUAAUGUAAUUCAUGAAUAAUUUUAUUAAACUAAUCUGUUCAAAAAAAUAUAAGUGUAUAUAGACAAAAAUACUACACUUAGAGUAUCAAAUCUAAUAUUAAGUGUCACCUAUCUUUGAUGAUGUUUAACAAUGGUUGUAUGUUUGCUUACUUUUGUUCGAUAAGGGUUGUAUGUUUGCUUACUUUGGUUAUUUUUGUACAAUGAUUCAUAUUUAUUAUUUCUCCCUUUUUUUAAUUUUGUGACCUUGGUGAAUGUAUUUUCAUACGGAAUGAGUAUGAAUAGUAGUGACAAUAAUUCCAAUGGUAAUAGAAAUGAUGAUGAAAGGAGUGAGAUUUUACAACUUGUGGAAAGUUUUAAUAGGUUAGUUAGUGUUGCAACAUCUAUUGUUCAAUUAUAUUGUGAAAAAUAUUUAUUAAAACAAUCAUGAAUUCAAAGCAAUCAAAUGAUGCAUGGGUUCCAGAAGUCCUUAAUGGUCAUGAAUCUCGUUGCAUGAUUAAUUUUAGAAUGUCCUCAAUCGUAUUUAGAAGCUUGUUGAGAGUUUUAGAAACACUAUAUGAUUUGCAAAGUUCAAGAAAUAUUUCUUCUCUUGAAAUAUUGGAUAUCUUUUUGCAUAUGUUGGGUGUUGGUGCAAAAAUUUCUCAAUGUCGAGAGAUUUCAAAGGUCUGGAUCCACUAUAAGUCAAUACUUUGCAAUUGUCAUUGGGAAAGUUUCAAAGUUAGCUAUUGAUAUAAUUGUACCAAAUGAUUACACUUUUAACACAAUACUUGAACAAAUACGCAAUGAUUCAAGAUACAAGCCGCAUUUUAAGGUAACAUAUUAAGAGUAUCAUAUUAUAUUUUAAUAUACUUGUUAUUAUUGAAUAUGUGUGUGUACUAAAUAUGAUUAUUUAUUUAGGAAUGCAUAGGUGCAAUUGAUGGUACACAUGUUGCAGCAAUUCUUCCACCAAAUGAACAAAUUCUUUACAUCAGAAGAAAAAGUGUCCCAACUUAGAACGUUAUGGUUGUAUGUGAUUUUAAUAUGUGCUUCACAUUUGUAGUGACUGGAUGGAAAGGAUCGACGUGUGACACUAAAAUAUUCUUUGAUGCAAUUUGAGAUCCAAGACUCAAAUUUCCUCACCUACCGGAUGGUAAAUUAUUUCAUUCAUUUAUUUAUUUAUAAAAAGCAUAAGUUCUUUAAUUGAAUGGUUAUCAUCUAAUGUCAGGUAGAAGAAUAUUAUCUUGUUGAUUCUAGAUAUCCCCUAAUGAAGGGUUCCUUGUACCAUAUAGAGGAGAGAAGUGUCAUUUACCUGAUUUUCAUAGAGAUAAACCUAUAUAUGAUAAAGAAGAAGUAUUCAAUCAUGCACAUUCAUCGUUAUGUAGUGGGGUCAAGAGAGGUGGAGAUGAUGAUGGUGAACUGUGGUGAUGUUGAAUUGUGGGGGUGUAGAUGGUAGCAGUGAAUGUUGUGAGGCUUGGGCAAAAUGAGCUAUUGGUGUCUAGAGAGGGUAAGUUGGGAGAAAGUGUAUUGUGUGUGAGUUUGGUGGCGCUGGUUCGAGUAGGGGAGUUGGAAUGUUGAUGUUAAUGGUUUAAAGUGCUCAAUGGUAGAGAGUUGGGUGCUAGUGUGCGUUAGUUGAGGGCUCAGCAAGAACUAAGAACAAGGAUUGAGGAGAGAUGAGAGAAGAAAUAAAGUAAAAAAGAAAAAAAAAGGUUAAAAAUAUAUAUAAUUAUGUGGCACUGUCUUGGAUGACACCCAUGUCAGACUUUCGUAACAUUUUUAAUGUUGGGUAACAACACAAUAAUUAAAAUAUUACAAAUUAUUAAUAUUAAUGACCAAAACAUAAUAAUUUAAAAUUCAGUGACCAAAACAUAAUUUAAAUCAUAUAUAGUAACUAUUUUUACUCUUAAGAAAAUUAAUGUUUCAUUAUUUUUAAACUAAUAAUAGCAAUAUUUCUUCUUUCUAAAAUGUCAUUUUAAAUUAUUUUUUUAUAAUUCAUUGAAAUACAUCUUUAACAAAGUUAGGUACUUUUCAAAAUUAAUUAAAAAUUUAUUUAUGAUAUUAUUUAGGUAAAUAUGGUUAUGUUGUAAUUAUUCUUUUCAAAAUUAAUUAAUUUUUAAAUAUUGUUAAUGCUAAAUUAAACAAAGUUAUAUAUGAUGACUUUUUCUUUUCUUUUAACUGAAAUUCAAAGCUUGUGAAUUAAUUUUAUGUUUAAAUAUCAAAUAAAGAAAAUUUUAGAAAGCUGUUAUGUGUUAUUUUCACUCAUUAAUAAUUAUUUUUUUAAUCCAACCAUUUAGUUUAUUGGUCAAGACUAACAGGAAAUUUAAAUAAGUAAAUAUAUCAAAUUAAGAAUAUUAAAUGCAGUUUGAUUCUUAUCAUAACAUUGUCAUUUUUCUUGAGUUGAUAUUGAAUUAACUUGUGACACUAACUCAAUCAAUGACCUUAUCAAUCCUAGAAAUUUUAUCAUUCACAUAUGUGUGUAGAAACUACCUACUUAGUACAUAGAAAAGUGUUUAAAAAAAACAUAUAAUAAAUAAUUAAAACAUAUAGUUUGAAAUUAAUUAAUAAUACACAUGAAAUAUGUAUGAUAUUAAAAUAAAAAAUAUAUUAAAUUGUGAGUAAAAUGAAAUUUAAACACGCAAGUACAUCAUAUUAAGAAUAUUAAAUACACUACAAUUGUUUAUCUUGGUGUUGUCAUCAAUCUUUAGUUGGUGUCGAGUUAACUUGUGACACCAACUCAAUCAACAAUUUUAUCAAUAUAUAUAAUUGAUGAAGGUAAUAAAGUAUGAUAAAAAUGAAAUAAAGCUUUAGUUGAGUGGAAAAAUUAAAGUUUUAUCAAUACAAAUGAUAUGAGUUCAAAUCCCACCACAUGCAUGUGGGUGAAACAAUUUGUGUAAUAAUCUUAAAAUAUAUAAAAAUUAAAAACAAAAAUUGAUUGAAGUGGUAAAAAAAAUCAUAAAUAUUGGUGACAUGAUUCAAAUAUAAUUUAUAUGCAAUUUUUUACAGGUUUUAUUAAAAAUAUAAAAAACAAGUGUCGUCACAAUUUUAAUUUAUUUAUAAUAGAAAGGUAUUUUUGCAAUUCCCUUACCGAGUUGGGACCCGAUUAAGGGUUACACCAACUCAGUCGGGGUUUAAAUAAUAUUAUAGAUAUUAAUUUAUUCAUAUAUGAAAAAGUAUUUAUGUAAUUCUCUUAACCAAGUUGAGGCUCAAUUAAGGGUGACACCAAUUCCGUUAAGGGUUUAACUAUUGAUAUACAAACAAUAGGGUGAAAUAAUGUGUAAUAACAUUAAAUUUUAUAGUAAAAAAAAGCAAAAUAAUGAAGUGGUAAAAAAAAUUAUAGACGUUAGUGGCUUGGUUUAAAUCUCAUCAUACGCAAUUUUUUUCAUAGGUUUUAUUAAAAAUAUAAAAAAAUAUAAAAGUACCCUCAACAAUAUAAUUUAUUUAUACAUAGAAGAGUAUUUUUAUAAUUUCAUUAACCAAGUUGGACUCGACUAAAAGUGACAUCAACUCAUUUAAGGGUUUACAUAAUAGUAUAGAUAUACAUGAAAGAGUAUUUCUGUGAUUUCAUUGACAAAGUUGCGACUUAGGGUCUGUUUGAUUGCCAGUAAAAUAUUUUCCGUAAAAUGAUUUCUGGAAAAUGUUUUACUUUUCUGUAAAAUGAUUUACUGAAAAAUAUUUUCUGGUGUUUGAUUGAAUCAGUGUAAAAUAUUUUCUGCUAUUUGACAGAUUUCCUGAAAAUAUUUUCUGAAAAAAUUGUUUUUACAUAUAUUAAUAUAUAUUAAUAAAUUUUUAUAUUUUAAAUUGUUUUUACAUAUAUUGCAAUGAUUUAUUUAUAAUAAUACUCAAUUAUUAAACUACAAUAUUAAUCGUUAUAAAUUGAAAAAAAAUACAUUCUUAUUAUUAAACUACAAUAUUAAUCGUUAUAAAUUGAAAAAAAAAUGCAUUCUUAUUAGUUGGAAAAAAAGUGAAGAGAAAUGGCUAAAAAUUUACCUUUUUUAUUUUAUUAUUUAUUAAAUGGGAAGUAAACUUCAUACAAUACAACAUUCUUGAGCAAUAAUUAAAUUCCCAAUAGACUAAACUUGUGAUUAAUUUGGUCAAAAAUCAAUCAAAGCUUAGGAGUUUGACACAAUUAAUUCAACCUUUCUCUAUAAAAUGAAGUAUAAGCUUUAUGGUAAUCGAACAUCUCUCUUAAGAUCAUCAAAUGUUUUGUGAGAGUCAAAAUUUCUAAUGGUUAACCAUUUACAAAUGAUGAAGUAUUGUUGUCUAAGAGAGAGAGUAGUGAUAUAUGUAUACCAUAUAAACAUACACUACUUUUUCUAAAUGUCUGUACAUAUUAACAAACUUUAAUACAACAAUACAACUACAUGUUGUUGUCUAAGAGAGAGAGUAGUGAUAUAUGUAUACCAUAUAAACAUACACUACUUUUUCUAAAUGUCUGUACAUAUUAACAAACUUUAAUACAACAAUACAACUACAUGCAUGGUAUUGAUCCUUUACCUCCUUUUAUGUAUGUAUAUGUACUAGCUGAUGUAGAAUUUUAAGGGCAAGACUAGCUUGAAGAUUCUUCUUAAGUCGGCUCCUUCCUUCAUGGGGAAAAAAAUACAGAACGAAGCUUGAAUGAAGAAGAAGUCUCAACAACUUCAAGCUGCGUCAUGAUGAUUGAGAAAUUCUAUUAUACAAGGAUACACUAGAUCUACGGCCUGCAUCAAAAGGAAGUGUAAAUAUUUAGGAGAAGCAAUGUUCCAAUUGGAAUAACAGGAACAUUUAGAACCUGUGCAGGGUCUGCCUGCUCACCGAAGAGAAAUAACAUCAGAUUAUUGUCAAUAUACAUACAAGCAGAUAAUAACACUUCACAGAGAAACAAUGCUUAAGCAAUUUCGCUUCAAUAACACUUGCCAUGGGUAAAAGCAGUUUGAGUGACGAUCUAGAAGACAUAUAGUCCAAUGAUGAUGCCAACGUAGUGACUGCUGCCAAUCCAGAAUCCUUUCCUUCAUAACCUUAUAAAAACAAGACAUUUUAGCACUCCUAUACAUUGUUCAAGAUACAAAGUCAAAGUAAGAUGAAAAGUUUACUUAUAAAACUAUUCCAUCAAGUAGCCUACCGGGACAUAUAGAACUCUUUUGGACUUAUACAGCAACGAUUUUGAUUCCAUCUAAGGGCCUUAAAGAGUUCAAAAUUAAUUGGCUCUACUCAUAAAGGACUCAACAUCAUCCUGGUUGACAUGCUUUAGCUGUGAUAAUUAAAACGCAACAGUUUGAACUCUUAGAUUAGCCUCAAUAAGCAAAAUAAAAAGGUUCAAGCAUCAGAUAGUUGAACCAAGCGUAGCAUUUUCUUUUGUGAGUUUAACCAAUAUUAUCAGUACCUAGAUCAACAUAAUUUGUGCACAAAGUUUUCCAUUCUUUUAUCCAUAAAUAAAUUGCUGUUAAAAUGUUUAACCGGUCUAAGAAGUGAUUAUAAACUGUUUACAAGUCUAUUUCAGUCGGUGCUGUGUCCAAAGGAAAUGAAAUUCAAGUUGGUCACAGCUUCAAAAUGCUAAAUAAAUUCUAAUCAUAACAGAACAGAGAAAUUAAACAUGCAGUUAUGUGUUAAUAUAACAAACUAUUUUGCAAUACCAAAAAGGUAAUAGCCAAAAGGAUAUGCAGUAAUAGGUUUUACAUAGGUCAUAAAUGUAGAUGAACAAGCAAGUUUUUACAGAAUCUUACCACAUCGUGAUAGCAUCGCAUAUAGCAAGAUACUGCCCAUAGAAUGACCAAUUGCAAGUAACUUGCCAUCCUUUGGUUCACUCUUAUCCUUUAUGUAUUCCAUCUAAGAUAAAAAUUUUAGUUUAACAAUACUCAAGUUAGUUGUCAUGGCUUACGAAUUGUCAGCUGGUGUACGCAUCGCAUAAGGGAGGCACCUCACCACAGCAGGGACGUCUUCUUCUAGGUAGUUAUCAAAGUCCCAAUCAUACUUGGAAAUAAGAUCAAGUUGUUUCUGCAUAUCUUUUAGUGCUGUAGAAAUGCUGUUUUGCAUAUCAAAAGCACGUACUGGAGAUGAUCUUUCAGCUUCUUCAAUUAUAUUUACAAGCUUUUCAAUUAAAUCCGUAAUUUGACUGGAAAAAGCAUAUCUUUUUUCUGUUUUUGAAAACCUCUUAUAAUCUGUACCCUUACCAUAAAAAUCCUUCCUCUGAGAAAUAGAAUCUAAAGGGUCUAUAUAUUGUCCAAAAUCCAUUCCUUGUGUACUCAAUCCAGCACCUCUGAGUUCAAUAAUCCAAGUAUCAUAUCCUUGACUGCACAUGAAGCGUGCGAACGAGGACUGAACAUGAAUUUGCAUCAUCAAUAGACUUAAAAACAAGAACCCCAAGAAAGCUAAAAGCCUAGAAAUUACAAUCCAACGGAAGAAACUCUAUAAACAGAACAAGCGUAACCCCACAAAGCCAUAAGCUACGAAACCACAAUCCAAUGGAAGAAAAGUUAAGAACAUCGAGAAAUACAAUUAAAAGCUAAAAAUUAAUAACACAAAGAAACCCAUAAAAGCUAUGAGGUUUAGAAAAUUACAAACCCAUCACGUAGAAGCUUGGAAAUUGCAUUAAUUCACCAACAGAAAUAAUUCAAUGAGAAUGAAGAAUGGAUUGAAAUUCAGGUAUAGGGUCGGAGCGGGAAGGAUUGAGGGAAUCGAAAUGAAGAAUGGAUUGGAAUGGGAGAAGCCACAGAAAAUGAGUAGAAAUGAAAGUGGAAAUAGAAAACAUACAUUUCUAAAGAAAGUCUGCAAAGAAAAUUUUGAAGCUUAGACGAUGAGAGUGUAGAGAAGGGAAUGGAAAAUGUCUUAGGGAAGGAAAAUCGGUAAGACUUUUUCCAAAACUAAGUGAUUUUACCCGUGUUUGUAAAAGGUUUUCCUCGUGGAAUUCAUUUUCCUCCAAUCAAACACCGGAAAAUAGGGAAAACUAAUUCCGAAAAAUAUUUUCCCCUAUCAAACAGACUCUUAGUUAAAGGUGACACCAACUCAACUAAAAGUUCAAAUAAUAGUAUAGAUAGAUAUAUACAAAAAAAUGUGAGCGAAAAAAAUUGUCUAAUAACAUUAAAAUGUAUAAAAAAAUUAAAGUAAAAUUUUAGUUAAAUCAAUAACUAAAAGAUCUUAUAUAUGUUGGGGACAUGGGUUUAAAUCUCAACAUUUGCAAUUUUUUAUUGGCUUUUUAAAUAAGGAAAAUAUAGAAGUACGCUCAUAAUAAUAUUAUAACCUCAUGUGAUAGCCUGAUAAUCAAGGGUGUUCAUCACCUCAAGUGUAGCCUGGGUUCGAGUGUAACAGUCCGUUUUUCAGUAGUGUCAGAAACAGUGGUUUCAGGGCCACCAAGUCUGAUGAUUAAUUUCGUAAAUAUUAUUAUUUAAUAUUUACGAGUCAAAUGUGAUUUUUUUAAAAAAAAUUGAUUUGACAAUUUAUGUUAUAAGUGGUUUUACAAAAUGAUGUAUCGUGACCUUGUUUUUAUAAACCAAGCCGUAAAUAUUUUUAUGAAUAUUUACGGAGUUUCAUUAAGGUGGUAUUAAAGUUUCAUUAAGAAAUUUUAACAUUUCGAUAGUUAAUUAAAAGAAAAAACCCAAAUUGAAAAAAAAUAAAAAGUGCAUUCUCGAGACUCCAUUCCCGUAAAUUGGACUCGUAAAUAUUUUUAAUAAAUAUUUACCAAGCUAUUUGUGUAGUUAAUUAGAUUUCGGUUAAGUGAAUUUACUUGAAUUAAAAGUAAUUAGGUAUAAGGACUAAAUUGCAUAUAGGGUGAAAGUUGAAUCAUAGAUUAAAGAACAAUUAAAGGGGCUAAAGCAACAAUUUUACUAUUGUUCUGAAUUUAUAUAUUAUAUUAUAUUAUGAAAUCUUAAUUGUUAAGCAUAUAUAUUAUAUUAUAUAAUAAUUUAAUGUAUAAUAAAACAAAAGUAUUAAAAGAAAGAAUAAAAAGAAAGAAAGAAAGAAAGAAAGCCAUACGAAUCCUAAAGAAAAGAAAGAAGAAAGGAGAAAGAUUAAAUUGUUCAAAGUUUAAUUGGUUAGUCAAUUUAGCUCAUUUUCUUGUAAUUUUUAUGUUUUUGGAAUCUCGGUGUUAAGUAUUACCCGACCCAUGUCAAAAUUUUAACGAUUAUUAAGUUUUUAACUGUUGUUAAUGUUGAGUAAUUUUAGUAUUAGGGAUUAAAUUGAUAGAUUUUUAAGCUAGAAAUGAAAAAGGAUUAAAUUGUAGAAUAAAUGGUAAAUUUUGAGUAAUAGGGACUAAAUUGUGAAAAAUUCAAAAUUUAUGGAUUUAAGUGAAAAUAAGGAGUUAAAUUUAGUUUAAAAUAGAAUUUGCAUGAAAAUAUAGAAUUAAAUGUGAAGAAUAAAAAUUAGUCUCGAUUUAGGGACUAAAUUGAAAUUUAGGCAAACAUUGAGUAAAAAAUUGAAAUAUUCAAUAUAAAAUUGAAUUGUGUUAUAUUGAUGAAUUUUAAUUGUUUUAAUUUCGUAGCUAACGUCAUACCGGAAUUCUCCACUAAAAAGGGAAAAGAUAAAGUUGACGUCGAAUAGCUCGGAAUUCCUGGUUUGUAUUUCUAUAAUCCGAACUAAGUUGUAAAAUUAUUGCAUUUUGAUUUCUUGUAUAUGGUAAGUAUUGGAGGUUAAAACUAUUGUGUUUUACAAUUGAAAUGGAUUGAUUCGGUAUGCAAUAAAUUUAUUGAAUUUAUAUGAAUUGAAUUGAAUUCAUAUGUAUAUAUGUGAUAAUGUGAUUAUAUGAAAAUUUAAUAUUGGAUAUUUGUUAUAUUUGAAAAGUAAAAUGUAAACCUAUUAACUGUAUCGAGCUGAGUCGAAUAUAGAUGGCAUGCCAUAGGAUAGGAAGAGUUCAGGGAAUUCUUCGACUUCGAGUCGAUGAGGCACUGGGUGCCAAUUUACUUCGGUUUAACCGAUGAGACACUAGGUGUCAAAUUUAUAAAGCACUGGGCGUAGUAACUACUUCGGAUUUAUCCGUGUAUCCGUGUCAAAUUUAUAAAGCACUGGGUGUAGUUACUACUAGUGUGUUGGUUGGAUCCGUGUAUCCGUCCGAGUCGUGUUAAUAGGGGUAAAUAAAUAAUAAAGUUCUAUAUUUGAUAUUGAAAUGGUAUGGUAUGAGAAAUGGAAGUGAUAUAGUGAAUUGAAAAUAGAAUGUGAAAUAUGUUGUAAAUACAUAGAAUAUAUGAGUUAUAUACUCAUGAAUUGAAUAUGGAAUGGAUAAUGCCAUUGUUUAAAUGAAAUGUGAAUCAAAUUGUGAAAAGCUAUUUUAUAGCAAAUGAUGAGAAUUGAGUAUGGUAUGUAAUGAUAUAUUCAUUAAUUGAGUAUUGAUUGACUAAUGCCAUUGUAUGAAUAAAGGUAGUUUAAUAUGUGAAUAAUUAUUUAUAUAGCAAUUGUGUGUAUUGGGACAUUGUUUAGCAAAUGAAGUAUGAUAGUCAUGAUACUAGAUAUUAAUAUGUGCUUAUAAUUAAAUUGUGCAUAUGAUAUUAUCUUGUUUUUAAUAUUCGGAUUAUAGAAAUAUUACUAAGUUUUACUCAGCAUACGGUUUUGUUUUCCAUGCGCAGGUUAGGUACUUAACUUUUGAUCGCCGAUUCAGCAUCCAAUAAUGAUCCCAAACUCAAAUGUGGUGAUGUUUGUCCUUUGUGUCGGCAUGUACCUAGGGUGUCUAAAUAAUAGUUAUUUUGUGGAUUGAUUGUAAAUAAGGUUAUAAGUUUAAUAUUUGUUUGGUAUAUAUAUAUAAACAUGUAUUUGUUUUUGAAGCCAUAUUAUGGCACGAUAAGUUGAACCAAAUCUAGAUAUGUGCAUGUGAAUUUAAGUUUGUGUUUAAGUGCUUAUGAACUAGGCAAAAUGGAUUGAAUUUGGUAAGUUUAUAAUUUGGAUUUGAAUGAUACUUUGAUAAUAUGUUUUGAUGAUAUAAAUGAGGUACCAAUGAGGGUACAUUGGUUAGACACCUAGGAUGAUUGUUUUGACAUGUUUUGAAUGUGUUUGAUCGUGUUUUGAAUUGGUUAAAUGAAUGGUUUUUGAGUUGAUUAAUGUCCAAGCUUGUAGGGAAUGGUAAACUUGUGGUUUAAGGCACAUUUUAGGUCCACACGGCCAGACACACGAGCGUGUGACUCGAUCGUGUGAGAUACACGGCUAGCACACAGGCGUGUGGCUUGACCGUGUGACCCAAGUCAGAGAGUUACACGGGCACGGACACAGCCGUGUGUCCCUAUUUCGAAUGCCCACACGACCUAAGACACGAGCGUGCCUCUUGGCCGUGUGAGUCACACGGCCUGACCAUACGGCCGUGUGAACCCUGCAGCUUUGAAAAUUUUUAAUGUAUUCCGAAAACUUUUUGAGUUUCUAAAGUAGUCCUGACUUGUUUUUAAUGCGUAUUUUGGGCCUCGAGGGCUUGUAUAAGGGACAAUAUGUAUGAGUUUGAUUGGUUUCUGACCUGAAUAUUAUAUUAUAUGAAAUGUUUGAAAUUUCUGUUUAUUUGAUCUGUAAACUCUGGUAAUGCUUCGUAACCUGGUUCCAGCGAUGGAUACGGGUUAGGGGUGUUACAUCGAGUCGCGCUAGUCGCAUUUGUCAUUCGGGCUUAACCCUGUUAUUGUAAUUCACUAAUUCACCAAAAAAAAUAUAAAAUUAUUUUAGUAAUUUUCUUGAUUGAGUUAAUAUCUAGUUGACUCGUGACAUUAACUCAAUCACACAUUUAAAUAAUAGUAUUAAUUAUAGAAAGAAAUAGCGACUAUAGAUAUAAAAAAUAACAAUUAAAAAGACAAGUGGAGGCUAUGGACACAGAGAACAAGAAUAGAAGUGGAGUCUGAGUGUUAGCAAUGACAAGGAAGUUAGAGAUUUACCCUCUUAUUGAUAAAAUUAUUUAUCUUCUGAUGUUUAUUGUAAUGCCAAUAUUCGUAUUUUUAAUAAUGAAAAUCGUGAAGAUAAAGUUUUAAAAUAAAAUGGAGAAUAAUUUUCUUUCAAAUUAUUUAACGACAUACAUCAAGAAAAAUAUAAAUCAAUUGAUUUUCUCAUCGAUGACUUUAAAUUAAUGAAAAAUCAAUGAGUGUAACUUAAAAUACCUAACUUUAAAAAAUAAUGUUAUAUCUUAAGUGACUUCAAUUUAUAUUUCCUUUGUAAGUAAGCUAUAUUAUCAUUUAAAAAGCAUCAAAAUAUUUUUCAUUUUUGAAUUAUGUUUUUUUUAACCCAUUGUAAUCAAAUCUUAGAUCCAUUCUUGUUAUUGGUGUAUAUGGUGCACAGUCAAAAAAUGGUCACAAUUUAGAUUGAUAGAUCAGUAAUAAUUAAGGCAUAAUGAUUUUUUUGUCCCUCCAACUUUAUAAAAAAAGUUAUAAUGUUGACGUGUCAUCUUGAUACAAGUCGUAAGGCCCAAAAUCAGGCUCAUGAACGUGAUGGGCUCAAAUUUCCUCAAUGCCUAAUAACGAGGUCGAAAGCUAAGCAAAUUCGAGUAAGAUUGAACGAGAUCAUCCAAGACUUCGUUACUAAGGCCCUAGAUGCGCACACGACCGAAAAAGAAAAUCAAGAUUCACUUUCUUAUUUUCAAAAAAUCAAGAAAUCGAAUCUUGAUCCAAUUUUUUUGUUUCAGACAAUUUUAAGAAUCAAGAAAAUCAAGAUUUUAAAUCUUGGAAAUCUUGGUCCAAUAAACCAAAUCUUGCAACUAAGGCGCAUUGGAUUUCAUGUACGAGCUUAAACGAGCUAAUUUCAAGAGCAAACGGAUCACAAGACCAAGUUCUUGAAAAGAUGACCCAUUAAGAUGUCUACAAGCCCGUCCUGAAGUUUGGAAAGUAAUUUAAUUGAAUAUCAGACCAAAUUAUCAAAGUGACCCAAAUUGUAAAAUAUUUAAACUAUAAGUCCAAUUUUAUUUUAAUAGGUGGAUCAUCAUGUAAGAAUUUAGCCCAAGGAGCCCAUUUAAUUCAUUUGACUGAAUUCUCAUUAAAAGUCCACACUUAGAAUUAUUUUGUUUUUUUUAUUUGAUGAUUUGUCAUGGUAGUUAUUCCAUUAGGCUUAGAAAAACUUAUUUUGGGGCCUAUAAGUAGCAUGGACAUUCACCCUUAUACACAGACAAUUGAUUUAUGUUUUUUUUGAGUUAAUAAUAAUUCUCUUUGAGUUUUUCUUCAAGAAUUGCUCUUAAGUUUCUUUUAGAAGUUGUUGUAACAAUCUUUCAAGUUGUGGGAAUCAUCUUCAAUUUUUUUCUUGGAGGGAGAAUUAGAGCCAUUGAAAGGAGUUGUAGAUUCUUAACGUUUCCAAGGCUUCUUAGGACGUCAUCUUCUCUUUUCUAUCCUUAAUUUAUCAUUUCUUACUUAUUUAAGUUAGUUCUUAUUGUUUUGGCUUUCUGAUUUUAUUAAUUUUUGUUCUAGGUUAAAGUUACUUCAAGAAAGAUGUUCUUCUAUCUUAUUCCAUCAAGAAACUCAUCAAAAUUAGAAAUUUUAAUCUUUUCUUGUUGUUUCAAACAUUCUUGUAUAAAACCAUUUGCUUUUGUCUUUAAAAUCUCUUCUAACAAAUCUAUUUGUGUUUUGUUUUUCAGAUUUGGUUGGGUCAUUUUCUAAAGGUCCAAUGAUAGUUUCUUUCCAUCCAAGAAACUCUAAUUCGUUCUGUUUGGACUCUUUACCAGCCGGUUCAUCUUUCUUUUGUUUUAAUUUUAUUUGACUCUCCUUUGUGACAACUAAUCUGUUUUCGUUAUUUCUCGUUUCAAUUUACAUUCGUCUAGAGAUCUAAGAUAAAUCUGUAACUUUGACAAACUUUACGAUCCACUUCUGCAUCCAUCCACAUCAUUCUUUAUCACAUCCACAUAGUAAUCUACGUAUAUGCCACAUCAACAAAGUUAAAAAAAGUUAACUUUUUCAUCCAUUUUGGGAUAAUUUGAUAAAAAAAAACACACGUUUAAAGGCUAAAAAAUGCAUAAAAAUAAAUAGAAAACUAAAAUGACUUUUUUUUUUAUAAAAUUGAAGGAUCAAAUAAAUUAUUAUACCAAUAAUUAAUUGGGUAACCUAAAAAUCAGAUAUAAGUAUAAAUAGGUACUUGACUUGAUAAUAUUCAUAUUCACUCUUUCAUAUAAUUUAUUCAACAAUAUAUUUAAUCGAAUAUACACAAUUAAUUAUAUCCUCGAAAAAUCAUUUUCAUAUAAGGUUGUGUUAGCUGGCGAAACCUAAUAACUUCUCUUAAAAUUAUUUAAAAAAUCAUAAAAAAUUAUAAUUUUUUUAAAAAAAAUAGGUUUUAAAAUUAUAAAAAAUGAAAAAUAUAAAAAUAAUAUAAAUUUAUUUAAAAUUAAAAUUUAGAAAUUUCCAAAAUUAUAAAAUUUAUAAAAAAUGGAAAAAAUUAUAAAUUUAUUAAAAUAUUAAAAUUUAUUAAAAUAAUAUAAAAUUGAAAGAAAAUAUUAAAAAUUAAAAAGUAUAAAAUUGAAAAUAUAUAUAUAAAUUUAUGAUAAGGAGUUUGCAUGAAUUGCUAAUGUGCCACAUAAAGAGUUGAUAAUCAAGAAAAAGAACCAGAAUUGGAUUAAGGUAGAAGAGGAGAGGUUCAUGUUCCCCGGUGAAAGCACCAUGUUCCCAUGCAACAUUGAUGCUUAUAUUGACGAUAUCGACAAGUUAAUCAAUUUCAAAGAUGGGUCCAUAAAAAAUAUAAUUUCUUAUAUAUAUACAUUGCAAGUUUUUAUAAGUCUUGAAUUUUUUUUCAAAUUUUCAAAUUUUUAAUAUAUUUUUUCAAUUUUUUUAUAAUUCUCAAAAUUCUAAUUUUUUUUAUAAUUUUUCCUUUUUAAUAAUGUUCUUUUUCUAUAUUUUUUUGCAAUUUUUUAUACUUUUUGAAAAUUCUAUUUUUAAAAUUUCUAAUUUUUUAUAUUUUAUAAUUUAUAUAUAAAUUUUUAGAACUUGUUAUGGUUUUUAAACAAUUUUAAGAGAAAUUAUCAAAUUUUGCCAUGUGGUACAACCUUAGUGUGCCACGUAACAAAGUUAACAAACUUCAAGGGCUUACACCAAAGAUAAAUUUUCAAGAAUAAAUUGAUUGCUUAUAUUCAAUUAAAAACUUAAUUUUGGUUUUUAUUGAAGGCUCAAUUAAUUAUUAAAGUAUUUUUGAGGGGAUAUUUUAUAUUAACAAUUUAUUCAGCAAUUUCAACGCAUUAGAAUAAAUUAUGAACUCGUUAUUUCAUUACUUUAGAGUAGGAUUUUAUCUGUUAGGUUAAAAAUAUGGGCUAAAUUAGGUAAAAUGUCAAAUUUUAAAGUUAAUUGAGUGAUUAGGUCGAUUUGAAGCAUAUUUACUGGAAUAGUUUGAAAAGAGAGCUGAACGUGUUUUUCCCCAAUGGAAUUGCCAAUGACCAUAGAAAACGGUUAAUUAUUUUUUCUAUAUAAACCCAAAUCUUUUCCUCAUUUUUUCAUUCAAAUCCAUUUUUAUCAAUUCUCUAAUUUCUAUCAAUUCUCUCAAAUGUCUCAAGAAUUUAGUUCUAAAAUUUUAAUUAAAAUUCUUUCAAGUUUGUCUUGAUUUAAUUCUUUUUUUAUUAUUUCCAUUCGUUUUAAUUUAAUUUUAGAAUGACAAAUACUCUUAUUUGUUUCGAUGAUAACCACAUUUGUGCGAGUCAAUUGCAAGUGGUAAGAAAAUAUUUCUAAUUUUUAUAAAUUUAUUUAAGUUCAUUAUUAAGUUGUUAAAGAGAUUAAAACUUUUUUUUUGUUUUUUUUAUAAUUAGGCUGAAAAUCGGAUUCUCGAGACAUGUAUACAUAAUUUACUUAUGAGGCCAUUGCAUAUGAUUGAACCUUAUUUGGAAGUUGCGAGAUUCUUGCAUGUGUCCUAUAUGCUCGGGGGUGUAAAUUGGACCCCACACUUAUCAACGUGUUGAUGGAAAGAUGAAGACCUGAGACACACACAUUUCAUCUUCCAUGUGAUGAGUGUACAAUCAUACUCAAGGACAUUCAAUUACAACUUGUUUUACUAGUGAAUGAGUCAGUCAUUACUGGAUCAAUGGUCGUUGGUGAUUGGAGCAGCAUUUGCGAGCAACUAUUAGACAAUGUGUCAGAAAAGUUUUACGGUGGUAGGAUCGAGAUGAAAUGGUUGCAAGACAAUUUCCAAAAUCUCCAUGGGAGUUCGAGUCUCCUUGAAAGAGAACAACACGCCCAAGUGUACAUCCUGAGGUUAAUUAGAGGUGUUAUAAUGCCCGAUAAAUCUCAAACUCUUGUACAUUUAAGGUGACUGCUACAACUCGUUCGAAACUGGUGACAAAGUUGGGGGCAAGUGCACUGUCAGGGGGUGAGCGACAGUCACAUUGGACAAAAGCUGGAAGUCAUUUCAACUCGAAAAUGGUUGUUAUGAUUAAAUCACUGACUAAUAACUACAAUCGUUGUCACCUUGACUCAAUCUCCAGCUAUCGCUGCCACCUCGACUUGAACUCCAACUUCUCUCCACAGCUACCAUUACUCCUCCCCUGGCAAUGCUUUUGUAUCCAAUUUUGUCACUUUUCGGACAAUAGAGAGGUUACAAAUCUUGCUUUUGGUGGAGAUGGAGAAAAAAAUAAGUUGGUUAUAGUGGAAAACCCCUGACUUUUUCCCUAAGAUUAUCAUCUCAAACUUUUGCAUCGGGUUUAUAAACCAUCCUCUUCCAGUGAGGUGAAAAUUGAACUCGUGACUGCAUAAUCACUGAUAGGUGGACUCUCAAGUUAUACUCCAAAUAGUGACCCCCCAUUAACAUCCGUCAAAUAGGAGCCCCACUUAUACUUCAACCCGUGACAAUAUAUACGUCGUGAACUCGAGGCCUAAGUUGCAAUAUGAUGGGCUUUUAAGGCAAUGGUUUCAUCCCGACGCGACAGAUGAAAUGUAUGGGUCUCCGAGCAUUAUCACAUCACCGUCAACUGAAAUAUACCUUUGAGCUUUCACAAUGUCUAUUUUAAACACAAACACAAAUAAAUCGGCCUCCCAUUAUUUCCAACCUUAAACCCUUAAAAACCUUAACUAAACCCGUAAACCUUAACAAAACCUUAACCCAAACUUUAAACAAACCUUAAAAACCCGACCAAGGAGAGAGAGCUAGAUACGUUUUCUCCUCUCUCUCCAAAAUCAACCUGUUCCAAUAAAUAUGCUCCAAAUCGGUUUAAUCACUCAAUUAACUUUAAAAUUCAACAUUUUUGCCUAAUUUAGCCAAAAAUAUGAUGUUAUACUCUGUAUUUUUUUUAAUGUAAGAUUUAGUCUUUGUAUCUUAUUUUUUUAAUUUAAAAAUUAUACUCCAAUCAUUAUUGUAGUUGUUACUUGUUAAUUUGAAUUUUUUUUUCAAUCAUAUAACUUACUCAACAUGCCAAAUUGACAAGUUUUGAUAGAAAAUAUUUUAAUAAUUUUAAUUAUUAAUUUGAUAUUUUAAAAUCCAAAUAAUUGAAAGAUUUAAUUUCUAAGAUUAAAAUUUAAAUUUUAUCAAAGAAACUAACAACAUAUUUUAACGUAUCUGAUACAAGCGUAUUAGACAGUUCCUAAUCAUGAAACCAAGCAAAUUCCAUUUUCAACAACAAGCGUAUUAAAAAGGGCAUUUUCCCUCGUGGAAGAUACCGCUUAAUGUUUAUCUCAGAAAAUCCAGAUUUUUUUGUUGAGACCUGAGUGAGAAAAUCAACCAGGGAAAGAGCAAUGGUGGAGAGCCAGCCAAGUGGCACUUAAGUUUCAUCUGUCAGUUACACCCACAUCAUCUCUUAUCCACUUAAUCAAACCACAUAUUACGUGUACAAUCCUUGUUGGACACCCAGAUCCCAACCUAAUCUCAACUAUGACUCAGGCUAUCAUUUCAUCCCCCCACCAGGAUUUUUAGGCCCCCCAAGUAGUGGCUUAGAUUGACCCUUAUUUCCUGCCUUAGUUUCAUUGAAGGCGGGACUCUCAGACUACUCUUUCGAACCAGCUCCACCAUCACCCCCAAAAAACAAAGCAAAUUGUAGAAGAUGGCAACACAAGCACUUGUAUCAUCGUCUCUUACCUACUCAGUGGAGACUGCAAGGCAGAUUCUUGGAGCUAAACGACAAAUUGGGCCUUCAAGGAAAGGAUCCUUUGUUGUUAAGGCAGCUUCGACUCCACCCGUUAAGGUCUCAUUCUUACCAUGAUCUACUAUUGUUUUAUGUUUUGGUUGUUGGGAUUACGUUCUGAUGAUGACCUUUGUUAAUGUGGCAUUUAUCAGCAAGGAGCUGAUAGACCUUUAUGGUUUGCAUCUAAACAAAGCCUUUCAUACUUGGAUGGCAGGUAAAUGUUAACAGAUGCAAUCAUACAUGUAAUUUAGGGCCAUCUCUAUGAGUGAUCUGAUUUUUCUGUUUAACAGCCUUCCAGGUGAUUAUGGAUUUGACCCCUUGGGACUCUCAGACCCUGAAGGUCCAGGAGGGUUCAUCGAGCCUAAAUGGCUAGCCUACGGUGAGAUCAUCAACGGGCGUUAUGCUAUGUUGGGUGCAGUAGGUGCGAUUGCCCCUGAAAUACUUGGGAAGGCCGGUCUUAUCCCAGCAGAAACAGCCCUCCCUUGGUUUAGAACCGGUGUGAUCCCACCAGCAGGAACAUACAGCUAUUGGGCAGACCCUUACACUUUGUUUGUGUUCGAGAUGGCACUCAUGGGAUUUGCAGAGCACAGAAGGUUCCAAGACUGGGCCAAACCAGGUUCGAUGGGGAAACAAUAUUUCUUGGGGUUCGAGAAGUACCUUGGAGGGUCUGGUGAGCCGGCAUACCCUGGAGGACCACUGUUUAACCCACUUGGUUUUGGGAAAGAUGAGAAGUCAUUGAAGGAUUUGAAGCUGAAAGAAGUGAAGAAUGGGAGAUUGGCAAUGUUGGCAAUCUUGGGUUACUUCAUACAAGGGCUCGUGACAGGUGUAGGACCAUACCAGAACCUGUUGGAUCACUUGGCUGACCCUUUCAACAACAAUGUCUUGACUAACCUCAAGUUCCAUUAGAUGAAAGUGCCUAUAUUUGUUCCAUGGAACUAUCCCCCCGGCUAAAAGCUCCAUUGCCAAAUCCCUUUCUGCUCCUUUCUUGAUCUCAGUAAAACAUGUGUAAAUUUAUU
rnacentral:lncRNA from 1 species